UAAAAGAUCAAAAUUGCCAGUUUUAAAGUCGAUUACACUACGAACGAAUAAUACAAAACUAUAAAUCGAAACAAAAAUCACAAAUCCCACAAUAAAAUUUUAAAAUUCAAACUUCAGUAAUUACAUCAGAAACAUAUAAAUCAAACCAUAAACAUGAAGAUGAACAUGGAGAAGAAACUGCAAAUCAUUUUUUAAUAUGCUUGGCCUAUAAAAUCGAAAACUGAUCGCGAUAGAAUCAAUUGAAUAUAAACAGGGUAGAGAAAUCAUUUGCGAAGGUGCUUGAUCUUAAACCAGCCUUUUUUGAGGGAAUUUGUAAUAGUCUUCCCCCCCUUACUGAAGAACCUCUUGAUCUCAUAACCUCUCAUCUUCGCUUGCGAUUCAAAACUACCCAUCGUUGUUGUUCUUGUUCUUGAAGGUUCGAGUUGGAAGAUUGGAGAGAGAAUGUGAAGGGAGCUUUUGUAGAACAAUGGAGAAAGGGGAUAUUUUUGAGAUAGUUUUUAUAAGAAACGCGGUCCAAUCAUAUUAAACCACGCCACGCGUUAUUCAUUGGUGCACAUCGUUUCCCACUUCGUCGACCUUAAUAAUGUAAGUCCACUUGUAGAAAACAGUUUGAUUUUAGACAAAACUUUAAAAAUGGUCCCCGUGGUUUUCGAAAAUAUCAAUUUUAGUUCUUAAGUUAAAAAAACCUCACAGAUGGUCCCUAUGGUUUCAAAACUUUUAAUAAAUGGUCAUUUUCGCUAACUCCGUUAGCUUUUAGCCGUUAAGUGAAGGGCAUUUCUGUCAUUUCACAAUCACAGAGACCAUUUAUGAAGUUUUGCCUCUUUUAAAAAAAAAAAGAAAAAAAAUAUAAUUUUUUAAUAUUAAAUGGUCUCUCUCUCUCUCUCUCUCUCUCUCUCCAUUAGACUGCCAAGACCUCUUCUCUCUCAUCUUCCUAUUCGAGUCCGGAAACUCGCUAAAGCCCGAUUAAGCAAGCGCGCCAUCGAGCGCCGGUCGUGGGCGAAGUUUGGUGAUGCCGUUCAUGAAGAAGUCGGUUCUCGGCUCACCAUGGUUUCGAACAAAGAGAUCUUGCUUGAACGACCUAGGGCUCCUGGUUUGUCUCUACCCUCUUAACAUUUUCUGUUAUCUCAUUGAUGAAGUAUGAAAUUUGUGUGUUCUUAUAUUUCCAUCGACAAUUCCACUGUCAAAUUCGUUUCAGUUUCAUGAAAUCAUAUACAUUCCUCUUCCUCCGAUUGCGAUAAAUUCAUCAGUCGAAUAUAAUUAUCGGAUUUGGUGUUAAACCUUGAAAAACCGAUCUGUAUAUUCAUUUCGCUUUUCAAAAUGGACUAAUUCUGUGUUUUUCGUGUUGAAAUUUUGAUAGGUUCGAAGGGAGAAGAAAAGGCUACCGGAGACGACUUAGGAUAGCUGAGCAAAGGCGGCGCUGUACUCAUGGUAUGCAAAACUUGUGGCAAAAAAGGCGAUCACUGGACAUCACAGAACUUGCUGCCAUGGUAGUAAAGAUUUUUGGGGGAUUUUGAUCUGGAUUUAGAUUUGGAUUUUGAAUUGGAUUUGGAUUUUGCAACUGUAAUUCUUGAAUUGGGUUUUCCUUUACCAUUUGAGGAAGAGUGUGAGGUUUGAUUUUGAUCUGGUUGGAUUUUGUUGAUGAUAUUUGUGAGGUGGAUGGAAACAGGGUGUUUUGUUUGUUCACUAGCAGUUAUGACCAUACUGGGGAAAGCUUUACUAUCUCGAUAUUGAUAGUUUAAUAAAUCGGUUGGAAAGUGGGGAAUAUAAGUCGUGCAUUGAAGGUGUUCGACGAAUUGCUUGAGAGAACAUUCAGAAUCUUGAGACACUGCAUCAGAUUUUCCAAUGAACGGAUCCCUUCAAAGUUUAGUGAGAGAGAGUGUGUGAUUGGGUUCUUGAUGGUCGUCGGUAGAGAGAGAGAGAGAGAGAGAGAGAGAGAGAGAGAGAGACCAUUUAAUAUUAAAUAAUUAUAUUUUUUUCUUUUUAAAAAAAAAAGAGGCAAAACUUCAUAAAUGGUCUCUGUGAUUGUGAAAUGACAGAAAUGUCUUUCACUUAACGGCUAAAAACUAACGGAGUUAGCGAAAAAGACCAUGUGUUAAAAGUUUUGAAACCACAGGGACCAUCUGUGAGGUUUUUUGAACUUGGGUACUAAACUUAAUAUUUUUGAAAACCACAGAGACCAUUUUUGAAGUUUUGUGUUGAUUUUAUUAACUUAUCUUAUUUAAACAUUUUCGUUUACAACAAUACUUUAGUUAAAAAAAAACAGUACAAUAGUAUAUUUAGUUAAAUAUAACAAAGAUAUUCGUAUGUGGCACUUAAUGAGCUGCGAUUUAGCCAUUAUGGGAUACAAUUUCGCUUAUAGACUGUGAUUAUGUCAUGGGCCAAACACAUGAGCUUAUACUAUUUAACGUUUGAAAAAAAAAUAUCUACAUUUUUAUACAAGUGAGAUUCUACAAUUGUUUAGAGUAUGAUUUUAUGCAUUAGACGCAUAAUGCAAAUGGCGCAGAGAUUAUAAUUCUGCCAUUUUGGUGCGAUGAAAUCAUAAUAUUCUUUUUUAUUUUUGGAGUUUUUUCUUUUAUUUAUUUAUUUAUUUUAUUUUACAAAAAUUAUUGGCGAAUACGUCUUAAUUGUUUAAUCAAAUAACUAUAUAAGAGCAAUAUAUUUUCUAAAAUUACCAUAAAUCACAAUUCUCAUCAAGUUCUACUUAUCCAACAAAAAGAAUAUGAUAAAAAUAAUCGAUAACCUAUCGAGUUGAAACCAAAAUCUAAAAGUUGUAUGUUUUAUAAAUUUAACAAAUAUCUUAUUUAUGAUUUCACCAAAUCCAAGCCAUUGGGGUGCAGCAAGGUGACCCUUUGGGCCCUCUUCUUUUUGCCCUCGUUUUGCACCCGCUUGUGCACAAGAUUAGAGACAAUUUUAAGCUACUUCUCCAUGCUUGGUAUCUAGAUGAUGGGAUUGUCAUUGGGGGAUUCAGAGGAGGUGGCUAAGGUGUUGAACAUUAUUCGGUUGCAUGGUCCCGGCUUGGGUCUUGAGUUGAACAUCAAGAAAACAAAGAUUUUUUGGCCCUCCUGUGAUGGUAGGAAGCUUCGUGCUGAUUUAUUCCCAACAGAUAUAAGGAGACCUUCUUUGGGGGUGAAACUCCUUUGGGGGGCUGUUAGCAGAGACCCAAGGUUUAUUAGCGGGUUGGCCAUGAAUAGAGCGGUCAAUGUUGUUGAUUUGAUGGACCUUCUUCCACAACCAUGUGACCCGCAGAGUGAGUUACUUUUGCUUCCAUCAUGUAUGGGAAUUGCAAAACUUUUCUUUGGUUUAAGGACAUGUCAGCCGGUACACAUAGAAGAGGCAACUUUGUUCUUUGACAAAGGAUUGCGCAGGUCUAUCGAUGAUAUAGUGGUAAGUGGAGGCCCCUUCUUUGGAGACAUCCAGUGGCGCCUGGCCUCCUUACCUAUCCGUUUCGGUGGUUUGGGUUUGUACUCGGCAUACGAGGUUUCCUCCUACGCAUUUGUAGCCUAUAGGGCCUAAUCUUGGGCAUUACAAGACCACAUCUUACGUGACAGUGGCGUAUGUGGUUUGUACUCGGAUUACCUAUGUGUUAUGACUUGUCUUCGUGAUACGAUUCCGGGAUUUGACUGUAGCGGUUUCACUAAUAAGGACACCGCCNAAGGACACCCCCCCCCCUAAAUCCCAAAAAGCUUUGGCGUGUGCCCUUUUUAGCAAAACCGUCCAAGAUAUGGAAGUUGACUUCGACAUGACUGUCAGGCAGAAAGCAGUCUUUGAGUGUUUGCGCGUACCUCAUGCUCAAGAUUUUCUGUUAACUAUCCCUAUUGAUGGUCUUGGCCAGCAUAUGUCUCCUGUGGAGCACUGAACUAUCCUUCGUUACCGCCUCAUGAUUCCCAUAUUCCUAAUUGACGAGAUAUGCCCUGUUUGCCGCAAGGCAUGUUUGGAUACCUUUGGGGAACGCGUAGUUCAUUGUAGAGAGCUCCCUGGUUUCAAGUACAGACAUGAUGUGGUUCAGGAUGUUCUCUUUGAUGUUUGUUAGCGUGCUGGUAUUUCUGUGAAGAAAGAAGCGCCAAUGAACUUUUUAACGGACCCGCAGGAUGGAAGGUCCACAGUUAGACCGGCUGACAUUUUGGUCUUUGGAUGGAUAUGAGGGAAGCAUGCGUGCAUGGAUCUUACUGAGGUUCCUCCUCUCGUUGGUUUGGGGAGCGGGGGUCUCACAGCAGGGCAUGCCGCUUUAAAUGCCGCUGCGUGCAAAGUGGUAAAGCAUGCGAAUGCAUGUAUAGAAAAUCAACAUGUGUUUGUAUCUUUUGCAUUCAAUACAUUUGGGUUUCUUGCACCAGAGGCGGUGGAACUCCUCAAUAGAUUCCAACGGGUCAUGCAUUCUAAUGUCAUAACUCAUAGAUCCACAAAUAUUGUUUUCAAAAGAAUUGGUUUUGCCAUCCAGAAAGGGCUAGCGGCGCAGCUUGUUGCCCGUUUGCCUUUAAUCGAUAUGUAUUGAACUUCCAAAUGAUUUCGCUAGUGAAAUCAAUUAUUUUGAGUUUAAAAAAUGGCAAAACCUUCUGUUGCUUUCUAUAUAAAAAAUAUAUAUUAUUGCUAUUAUUUUUGCUUUAUCAAACUAAAAGCCCAAAAAAUUAAAAUUAAAAAAAAUAAUUGAAAACCAAUAUAGUUGAACCUAAAAGCGAAGAGAAAACCAAACAAAAUCAUUAUUUGGGGCUAGAAACCGACUUUUUAAGCCAAAAAGCGAACAUAACAAAGUAAAUUUCAGGGGUUGCACCAUAUAUAAACCUUAUGAUAGCCUCAUUUGGUCAUGUUUACCAAGCCUCCAUAUCUUGGAAACCUUAACCUCGCCCUUAGCCUUUGUUUUGGUGCUUUUGAGCUCUUGUGAAGCAUUUUGGUGUGUUUUUGUGUAUCUUGAAGUGGUAGAAUAAGAUUGAAGACUCAUUCUUUGGAGAAGAGCUUAGAGAUCCAGAUUUAGCUUCAUCAAUUCAUGAAUUUUGAGGUAUAAUGCCCAUAAGUUGUCAACUCUUUGUAUAGAUCUACUUUUAGGCUUGUUUAUGGCUAUUUGGUCCCUUUUGGUUGGUCCUUGUGAGCUAAGGUCGUUUCAAAAGCUUGACCCUUUAGAUCUAGACAUUUUAGGGGUCCCUUAUGCAUAAAAAUGCAAACUUUAUGGUGUAUAUGGACCCAUGUAUGUGUUAAGACCUUUUGUUAAGCUCUUUUGAGCUUGAGAUUAAGUGCUUAUUGAUGUGAGGUAGCCAACUGGGGAGUAUGAUGGGCAUACAAGCUAGUACGCUGCACGUACUAGCCCUAGAGCGUGUACGAUGAGCGUACGAGCUGAGUAUACCCCGUGUACUUAGCAAUGGGCUUCAGAAUUUUAGGCUUUUACGUAUUAGGCCCAUGUUGGACCUUAGGAGUCUAGGGAUUUGUUGGGUCAUCAUAAUUCUAUUUUUUGGUUGAUGCUAUUUUAUUGAACUCUUUUGGUUGAAGGCCCACGAAGGGAUUUGGGCCCAAUUUAGGAGAUUGGGCCAUAUUUGGGCUUUGGAUGGUCAUUUUGGAAUCUGGGCCUUUUGGAUAGUUGGCUUGGGCCUUGUCCUUGGGCCAAGUUAGUUAAAGGGUAAAAAGGUCUUUUACCCUAGUUUGGACUCUUAGUGUGAGUCGAUAUCCAAUUAUUAAUUGAAUGUUAUUUUAUGUUGUUAGCGCGAAGAUUUUAGCGGACCAGCAGCCAAAGAUUUAUCUGUGAGAUUAAGCAUUCCGAGGUGAGUUUCCUCACUAUUUUUAGCGGGUUGAAGGCACCAAUGUCGACCCAUGGUUUAUUAUGUAGGAUGCUAGAUGUACGUGUGUGUAACGCCCGCAGAUUCGGGCUAGUCAAUUUAGAGACAAUAAGCGUCAAAAAUAACUUUUUAAUAGAAGAUUAUUUAGAAUAAAUAAUCUUAACCAAGUUAUAGUAUAUGUCACAAGGGUUCUGUAUAUAUAAAGAACGCCGAAAUCCGAGUUAUAACGAAGAAUAUGACCUGCCGAAGUUUUAUGACAAUACCGGCACGACACGGAGAAUCGUAAAAAGUGAUUUUUUGAUAAACUAAUUUUUAGACUUAGAUAUCUAAAUUAAACUUGUAGUAUAUGUUAAACCGAGAGCGUGCAUAAAAAGAACGUCAAAAUCUGACUUCAUAUGAGGAAUUUAUGAUUUUUCUAAGAUUUCGCAUACCAGUAUACAACCGGGAAUUUGAAUAUUAGAUCGAACGAUUUUUAGCCAACAUAACCUAAAUGAGAAUCUAAGUUCUCGUUAAUAGUAACUCAAUGGUAAAAAGACAGACGAAAACGGACGUCGGAUGAAGAAGUUAUGAAUUUUUAACGGAUUUUUCCUGUCUCGACCUGUUAAAAUAUAAAAUUAAAAAUAAAGUCAAAUUAGCCAACGAAGUCUAAACGAAAGUUGUAGAGUACGGUCCCACCUACGCGUUGAUAUAAAUAACAUCAAAAACGGAGCUCGUAUGCAAAUUUACAGAUUUUAGAAGAUAAUUAGUCUUUAGAGAAACCAGCGAGUGACACGUGGCCCAAUUUGAGCCGCACCUUCUUCCCCACGAAUUUGCAUGAGAUCGCGACACGUGGCACAUUACUCACAACGUAAUUUUGAGUACGCUUAGCGUAACCCUUAAAAACCCAUUACGCUCAGCGUACUCGGCGCUGACAGCCUAUAAAUAGAGGCGUUUUUCCUCAUUUUUCUUGACACCUUUUCUCAACUUCUCUCAUAUAUACCCCCAAAGCCUCAAGGAUUUUCUCUAGCCUUUCUUAGGAGUUAGUAGCGAGUCCCGGAGCGCCAGAAGGCCCCGAGAAGAAGAGCUUUCAGCUCAGAAGUUCUGCCUGCAUAGAGUGCGGUUCUUCGCUAAACUCCAAUAUAAGUGAGUUAUGUCUACCCUACUUUAAAUAUAGCUUAUGCUUAAAUAUAAUAUCGUUAUUGUGAGCCUAUAAAUAAGAUUUAUCAAAGAUUCAAAAUCGUUAUACUGAUUGAUCUACUUACAAGAAUGAUGUAUAGGCUGUGGUUUAAUGAGGUGUUUAAAGUGAGAUUUCCAAACAGUAUACUUCGUAUACCAAACAGACCCUACCUCCCAUAUCCUACCUAGUUGUUCCUUACUUGAUAGAUCAUGAAUUAGACUUUGAGUUAAUGAUGAAUCUAGACUAAUAAUUAGUACCAAUAAAGAUUAGACUAAAACUUAGAGAUAAUAAUGCUAGGUUUCGUCGAAGGAAAAUAUAAUCAUUAGAAGCGAAGCGCUGCUCGAGUUUGGAAUUAUCACUUUGAAAAGUGAGUGCAUAGUUACUUUCAUCUUACACAUAGAUAUGAAGUAUUUUAUAUAAAUUAUGUGUUAUCUAUGCAUAUUAUCUGUAUACUUGCUACCGAUGCUGGAUGAACGAUUUUAUACAUGUUUUAAAUGAUUUAAACUAUAUAUGCUUUUUAUAUCUACAAAAUAUGUUGGGUAAAAAAUGGGUAGAUAAAUGAUGAGGGAUGAAAGAUGAUAUAGAGGAACAUUGGGAGUAUGGACAUAGUGCCCUAUAGGUAAACAUUGGCAACAAUGGACUUAGAAUCCUAUCGAUGAGCAUUGGCAGCUGCGCCAUAACCUGUAGAUGUUUUUGAUCUACGAUGUAGUCUAAACAUCCUAGCAGUUGCGCUCUAACGAUUGUUUUGGUAGCUGCGCCUAAUAAAGAACAUCACAACCCUAGCAACUACGCUUAAGGGAUAAUAUCGGCAGCUGCGCCUCAUAGAGAAUGUCACAAUUCUAACAGUUGUGCCUAAAUGGUAAUAUUGGCAGCUGUGCUUAAUAGAUAACAUUGACAACUGUGUCAUUAGCAACAAUGGAAUUCGUGCAUAUUCCUUAGGACAAUCCUUAGGAAUGAACGAAUGAAAAAUAGCUGAUUCUUAGGGUAGAUCCUUAAGAGUAAAGAAGAUAAUGGGGAUGAGUAAUUGGGUUAACUGUUUUAUGUUUAAACAUAAUAACUAUAUUAUUGUGGGUUGAAAAUCCUAUGUACUCACCAGGUUUCCCAACCCGACCCACUCAAGUUUAUUUGUAUCACAGGUGUCGAUAUGAAGCUACUUUACACUGAGAGAUUUAAAAGAGAUGUAGAUCACUAGUGUAAAUGAAUGUAAGUUCUAUUUAUGCUUAUGAUUCUGUGUUGACGAUGACAUCCCAAUGUUUUGAAAAUGAAUAAAAUAUACAUUUCAUUGAAAAUGCUUUGAUAACGUAUUUAUCAUGUUUUUCUGGGAACAAAUUCUCCGCAACAUAUUUCUUUAAAAGAUACUCUAAUUUUCAAAAUAAAGCAUAAACAAAUCGGUCUUUUUUGGCCGUAAAAAUGGGGGUGUCACAACGUGACUCUUGCAUGUGUAUGGAUUGAUAUGUAUAUUGAGCGGGGCUCGAAGUCAGGAAAGGCCCGAUGACUGUAUUGUAUGCUGUUAUCUUUGUGAUUAUCGCAUUUGUUAGUAUGAUUAUAUGUUUAUAUGCUUAGAUGUGUAUUGGGAGGGCCCCCAUCUCAGGCUGGGCCUGGGGAUCGACAGAUCUGUAAACCGAGCAGGGCUCGAUGCUAGGCGGGGCCCGAGGCCGGGUAGGACUCGAUGCCGAGUGGGGCCCGAUGAAAGGUGGGGGCCCAAUAUGUGUUUAGUAUGUAUGGUAUGUGGUAUGUUGGUGAACUCACUAAGCUUUGUACUUACGGUUUUCAGUUUAUGUUUCAGGUACUUCUGGUUCGAAAGGGAAGAGUCUGGGAUGAUUGAAGAGCACACAACACUUGAUUCCACAUUUUGUGAUUUACUCUGAUAUUUUGUGAUGUAGUGAUAUACUUUGGUCUAUCUUGGUUGUAUGAUAAUGUUUUGGAUUACCGUUUUAUUAAAUUAAAAAUGAAAAUUUUGGAUCUUAUUUUUGGGACAUUACAAGUUGGUAUCAGAUCCUUAGUUUGAUGGAUUCGGACAAACUCUCGGGGUGUCUGAACUCAAAAUGAGGAUUUGGUAAAAAAUUUCAAAAAGGAAAUGUUUUACAGAAAAGGGUUUUCUAAUACAAUAAAGGGUGUGGUGUAUGCAAUUCGCCAAGCUCAAGUAAGUUUUCCCAAGAUACCCAUACAUGUUAUUUGAUAUGAUUUGAUUUGUGAGACCGUGAAUCGCAGAAUAGUUAGGGCUAAGGAUCUGCUUAGUAUUUUCAUGAUAGAAUGCUAGGAGAGACGCUUUUGUAUGCCUAUUUGUAUGAGCUUGUAGACUUGCAUGCUAGUACUGACCAGUUAGUGAUAGGAUGGCCUGAUUAGGUUAUGCUUGGUUCUACUUACUCCAUGCUCGAAUGCUGCUUUCUUUGUGCUUUUUAGGAUUUCUCACUGACAUCAACUAACUAGUAAGCAAAUAUAUUAAGUUACAUAUUGUGUAAACUAAAUAAUUUCAUAAGGUUACGUUUUAACUCUAUUGCACAACUCUUGUCUGAGUCCAACCAUUGUAGCGUGAGACCUCUCAUUCGAAGAAUUAUCUAGUUUUGGUGAUAUGUAAUUGUAUUUGUGAGCUAGUUAGUGGAGGUUAGCGGGAGUACCUUCUGCAUCUGAUGGUGGAGAGUGGUGUGGAGAUUGCCCUAGGAAAACCUAGGAAGAGACUUUGUGCUAGGAGACUUACCUUGAUGAGGGUUAAAUGUAUGGAUAUAGUGUGACUUGGUGGAUUUGAGGAAAACCUUGAGGAAAGUACGGAUAUAUAUGGAAGGUUUAUGGGCCCAUACUACUGGAAGCAGAGGAUCCAUACUUGAGUCAAGGAGAGCUGCGAUGAAACCAGGAAGCUUCUAGAGUAUGAGAUACCUCGAUAUAUAUUAUGAUGGUUUAUAUGGUCUAUUUUCAGUAUGGUGACUCUUCGAGACCGACCGGUUAGUAAUUCAGGUGCUAGUGACAGCUUGGGCUCAAGUUCUAGAGUCGGGCAGUUGGAUGAUCAGACGAGGGAGUUCAUUUCGUCUGAGGUUACGCGUUACACUCUAGAGAAGAUUCUUGUGAUCUUUGAUACAAUCAAGGAGGGUAUUGUGGAGCUGUUAGAGGAGCGUUUGGGCUCUUUCCCUUCUGAGAUGGUGGCCUUGAUAGGGGUGCAUUCAUUAACCUUCAGGAAGUUCUAGGCAUGUAGGGAUCCAGAUUAUCACGGGGAGAAGGACCCGAUAACGAGUAGGCGAUGGUUAACAGAUGUCGCUAACGUUUUCCACACCAGUAGUUUCCCCGAGGGGAAAAGGUCAGACUUGCUUCUUGUUUUCUGAAGGAUAGAGCACGAGGAUAGUGGGAGGUGGUAGGACAUGACUUGGGAGGAGAGGCGAUUGAGUCCAUGUCAUGUGAUGAUUUUAUGACCAGGCUUGGGGCUGAGUUUGAACCAGUGAUUGAGAUGUAGCAGUUGACGCGAGAGUUUUAGGAUCUUCGCCAAACGACUGAGAUGGUGGUUGAGAUCACCGCGAUAUUUUCGAAGAGGGGGCUUUUGGUUCAGCAGUAUGCGGCGGACGAGGAGAUGAAGAAGGUGAGGUAUCACGAGAUGUUGAGGAGAGAUAUUCGACAGUUUGUGAGCAGAUCUAGUUGUAAGACAUUGGAGAAUAUGAUAGAGAGAGAUAAAGAGAGAGAUAUGGAGAAGAAGGGGAAGCCGGGUGAGGCUCAGGUUUUAGAGGGAUCGGGAAAGAGGCCCAAGGUUCAGGAUUCUAGAUCGAGAGGACAGUAGGGCCGGAGCCGCUGUGGGAAGUGCGGCAAGGUGCACGAGGGACCAUGCAUGGUGGGUGGUUCGGUGUGCUUCAAGUGCGGCCAUAAUGGUCAUUAUAGAAGGGAUUGUACUGCUACCACCACCACCACUACAAAAUCAGAUCUGAUUUGCUUUCAUUGCAAUCAUAGGGGCCACAAGAAGGCCCGAUGUCCGAGUUUGGAUGCAGCAGGGCCAAUGUCAGCACCCGCUCCUACGAAUCUUCAGAUUACUGAUGGACGCCAGGGCAAGGCAGAUGCAUCUGUGGUGAAGAGCAGGGAUUUUCACUUGAUAGCCGAGGAGGCUCACGCGACACCUGAUGUGGUGACGGGUAUGUAUCUUCUCAUCAUCUCUUUUUAUAUUGAAAUUCUUGCUUAUAUUUAUGUGUUUUAUUUUAGGAUUGUUCCUCGUGAAUGGUAUUUCUACUUUGGUACUGUUUAAUUCGGGGACUACCCGAUCCUUUGUAUCACUUGCGCUUAGCAAGAGGUUUGCUGGAGCUCUAGGGGAGCUGGAUUGUCUUUUAGAUAUCGAGAUUGUAGAUGAUCAAUUUAUCCGGUUAGCAAGGGUUCAUCAGGGUUGUAUUCUUCAAAUGUUCAGCGAGUAGUAUCCGAAUUAUAUGGUUCCCAUUCCUUUGUAUGGGAACAAUGUUAUUGUGUGUAUGGAUUUGCUGAGCCCCAAUGUGGUGGUGAUCGCUUAUGAGCAACAGUUAGUUCGGAUUCGAACCCCAAGUGGGGGAAAGUUAGUGGUUCAGGGAGAGAGAGCUCAACGUGGGCCAAUUUUGUGUUCAUCAACGAGGGCCAAAUACUAUAUUCAGUAGGGUUAUUUCGGAUUUGUCGCCUAUUUUAUGGAUACUUGUGAUAAGGGUAGGGCGACUGUGGAUGAUGUGCCUAUUGUGCGGGAGUAUCCGAAUGUGUUUGAAUAGGAUUUGUCUGGGGUGCCUUCAGAAAGGCAGUUUGAGUUUAGUAUUGAUAUGGUUCCAGGUGCGACUCCGAUUACCAAGGCACCAUAUCGGUUGGCUCCUCUCGGGAUGCAGGAGUUUUCUACAUAGCUGCAGAAGCUAUUAGACAAGGGAUUCAUUUAACCGAGCAGUUCGCCAUGGGGAACACCGAUCUAAUUUGUGAAGAAUAAGGAUGGAUCUCAUUGUAUGUGCAUUGAAUACACAGAGCUGAAUAAGGUAACGAUUAAGAACCGUUAUCUACUCCUGAGGAUUGAUGAUAUGUUUGACCAGCUUCUGGGUGCAUCUUGGUUUUCCAAGAUUGAUUUGCAUUCGGGUUACCAUCAGAUGAGGGUUAGAGAUGAGGAUGUGCAUAAGACGGCUUUCUGGACUCCUUAUGGUCAUUUAGAGUUCGUGGUGAUGCCUUUUGGGCUCACCAAUGCUCCAGCCGCAUUCAUGGAUCUCAUGAACCUCGUAUGCAGGCCGAUGUUGGAUCGGUCUAUGAUUGUAUUCAUUAAUGGUAUCUUGGUCUAUUCCAAGACCCAGGAGUAGCAAGAUGAGCACUUGAGGGAGGUGCCAGAGACUUUGAAGAGGGAUAAAAUUUUCACAAAGCUCUUCAAGUGUGAGUUUUGCUUGCGCGAGGUGCAUUUUCUGGGCACCUUGUGAACCAGAAUGUUAUCCUGGUCGAUCCGGCCAAGGUCGAGGCCGUGAUGCGGUGGGAGAUUACCAGGUCUCCAUCUGAGAUUCGGAGUUUCCUUGAUUUAUCCGAUUAUUAUUAGAGAUUCAUCCAAGACUUCUCCAAGAUAGUUGUUCCCUUGACUCGGUUGAUUAAGAAUUCGGUCACAUUUUGUUGGGGGCCUAAGCAGUAGGAAGCUUUUGAGACCUUGAGAUAGUGGUUGCGCGAGGCACUGAUUUUAACCCUGUCGGAGGGUGUUGAGGAUUUUGUGGUUUAUUUCAAUGCGUCGAUCACGGGGUUGGGGUCAGUGUUGAUACAGAGGGGUCGCGUGAUCGCUUACGCUUUGAGGCAACUGAAGCCUCAUGAAGCAAAUUAUCCGACACAUGAUUUGGAGCUUGAUGAUGUGGUUUUUGCCCUCAAGAUUUGGCAGCAUUACCUCUAUGGGCUCUGUUGUACUAUUUACACGGAUCACAAGAGCCUGAGGUAUCUGAUGGAUCAGCUAAAUCUGAACAUAAGGCAUCGCAGGUGGUUGGAUGUGGUGAAAGAUUAUGAUUGUGAAAUCCUUUACCACCCGGGGAAGGCCGAUGCUCUCAGCCACAAGGCUGUCGCGACUCCGAUCAUGGAUAUAUGUUUGAGGAUGAUCGUGAUUACCCUGCUUUUUGAGCAGAUUCAUGAGGAUCAUGUCGAGGCUAUAAAGGAAGAGCAACGAAAGAGUGAGAGUAUUGUGGUUCAGGUGGCUUCCUUAGACUAUGAUAGUCGUGGGUUGUUGACUCUUCAUCGGAUGGUAUGUGUUCUGUAUUAGGCCAGUGUGCGUCAGGUUCUGAUGGAGGAGGCGCACAAGUCUAGGUUCUCUAUUCAUCGCGGUGUGACGAAGAUGUAUAGAGAUCUUCGUCCUGAUUAUUGUUGGCGUUGCAUGAAGCGAGAUGUGGCUUGGUAUGUGGAGCGGUGCUUGACUUGCAGGAAAGUCAAGGCCGAGCAUCAGCGACCUCACGACAAGAUGCAGCCGUUGGAUAUUCCCGUAUGGAAAUAGGAGGAGAUCACCAUGGAUUUCAUCAUGAAGUUGCCUUGGACUGCGCGCAGAGUGGAUUUGAUUUGGGUCAUCAUGGAUCGAUCGAUCAAGAGCGUGCGUUUUAUACUGAUUCAGGAGAGUAUUUAUGCGGAGAAAUUGGCUGAGGUUUAUAUCAGGGAGGUUGUGGCACGGAAUUGGGUGCCAGUUUCGGUGGCUUCAGAUAGAGAUGUUCGGUUUACUUCUAGGUUUUGGAAGAGGUUCCAUGACAAGUUGGGUACUCGUCUCCAUUUCAGCAAAUCAUACCAUCCGCAGACCGAUGGUCAGAGUGAGUGGACUAUUCAGACCUUAGAGGAUAUAAUUCGGGUGUGUGUUUUGGACUUCGAUGGGAGUUGGGAUACGUAUCUUCCGUUAGCGGAAUUUUCCUAUAAUAACAAUUAUCAUGCCAACAUUGAUUGGCCUCUUUUUGAUAUGCUUUAGGGGAGGAAAUACAGGACCCCGAUUUGGUGGGGUGAGGUCGGUCAGCGAGUUAUGGGGAGUACCGAGGUGGUACUCAAGACUAUUGAGUUGAUACAAUAAGUUCAGAGUAGGCUCCAGACAGCUCAGAGUCAGCAUAAGAGUUAUGCCGACCGACACCAAUCAGAUCUAGAGUUCCAGGUGGGGGAUAUGGUUCUCCUAAAGGUAUCACCGUGGAAAGGUGUGAUCCGAUUCAAGAACAAGGGCAAGUUGGGCCUAGGUACAUCAGUCCUUUUAGGGUUUUGGCCCGGGUGGGUCGGGUUGCAUAUCACUUGGAUCUUCCAGAUGAGCUCAGUUAGAUCCAUAGCACGUUCCAUGUCUCUCAGUUGCAAAAAUGUUUAGUGGAUGAUUCCACAGUGGCUCCAUUGGCGGAUAUUCAGGUGGAUGAUCGCUUGAAUUAAAUUGAGAGACCAAUGGCAAUUCUUGGCCGGAAGAUGAAAACCUUAAGGAACAAGGUUGUUGAGUUGGUCAAAGUUUAGUGGCAGCAUCGCAAGGGUUCUAAUUGGACGUGGGAGCAGAAGGAUGAGAUAAGGGAACACUACCCGGAGUUAUUUGGAGCAGCGGACUUCGAGGACGAAGUAUAAUUAAAGUGGGGGAGAAUUGUAACACUUGAAUUCGGUAAGUUUUGUAUUUAGCCUCUUUAUUCUAAAAAGUUUGCAAAAUUGGUCCUUAAUCUAGUACACGGGGCGUACUAGGUGGUACGUUUAGCGUACUAGCUUCAUGCAUGAUCACGGAGCUCAUCCACGUACGUUGGGCGUACAUGAGUUUUAAUGAAACCCUAAAUUUUUGGGUUUGCACUGUAUAUAAACCUUCUGAUAGCCUCAUUUGGUCAUGUUUACCCAACCUCCAUAUCUUGAAAACCAUAACCUCUCUCUUAGCCUUUGUUUUGGUGCUUUUGAGCUCUUGUGAAGCCUUUUGGUGUGUUUUUGUGUAUCUUGAAAUGGUAGAAGAAGAUUGAAGACUCAAUCUUUGGAAAAGAGCUUAGAGAUCCAGAUUUAGCUUCAUCAUUUCAGGACUUUUAGGUAUAAAGUCCAUAACUUGUCAACUCUUUGUAUAGAUCUACUUUUGGACUUGUUUAUGGCAAUUUUGGUCCCUUUUGGUUGGUCCUUAUGAGCUAAGGUUGUUUCAGAUGCUUGACCCUUUAGAUCUGGACAUUUUAGGGGUCCCUUAUGCAUAAAAAUGCAAACUAUAUGGUGGAUAUGGGCUCAUGCAUGUGUUAAGGCCUUUUAUUACGCUCUUUUGCAUUCUAGAGCCCCAUUAGACCAUGCAUGCAAAUAAAGUUACCAACUUUAAGUGAUAAAACAUCUUUUGAGACAAGAUCUGAGAGUAUGGAGUAAGGCUAAUGGAUUAAGUGCUUAUUUAUAUGGGGUGGACAAAUGGGGAGUAUGUUGGGAGUACAAGCUAGUACGUUGUGCGUACUAGCCCCAAAGUGUGUACGCUGAGCAUACGAGCUGAGUACGCUCCGCGUACUUAGCACUGGGAUUCAGAAUUUUUGGCUUUUCGGUAUUGGGCCCAUGUUGGACCUUAGGAGUCUAAGGCUUUGUUGGGUUAUCAAAAUUCUAUUUUUUGGUUGAUGCUAUUUUAUUGGACUAUUUUGGUUGAAGGCCCACAAAGGGAUUUCGGCCCAAUUUGGAAGAUUGGGCCAUAUUUAGACUUUGGGUGAUCAUUUUGGAAUUUAGGCUUGUUUAAUAGUUGGCUCGGGCCAAGUUAGGUAAAGGGUGAAAAGGUCUUUUACCCUAGUUUGGACUCUUAGUGUGAGUCGGGAUCCAAUUAUUAAUUGGAUGUUAUUUUAUGUUGUUAGCGCGGAGAUUUUAGCGGACCCACAACCAUAGAUUUAUCUGUGAGAUUCAACAGUCUUUGGUGAGUUUCCUAACUGUGUUUAGCGGGUCGAAGGUACCAAUGCCGGCCCAUGGUUUAUUAUUUAGGAUGCUAGAUGUCUGCAUGACUUUUGCAUGUGUAUGCAUUGGUAUGUAUACCGUGCGGGGCUCGAUGUCGGGUAAGGCUCAAUGACUGUAUUGUAUGAUGUUAUCUUUGUGAUUAUCACAUGUGUUAGUUUGAUUAUAAGUUUAUAUGAUUAAAUGUGUAUUGGGUGGGGCCUAUGGAUUGGCAGAUCUGUAAACCGAGCGGGGCUCGAUGAUGGGCGAGGCCUGAUGUCAGGUGGGACUCGAUGCCGGGUAUGGCCCAAUGAAGGGCGAAGGCCUAAUAUGUGUUUAUUAUGUAUGGUAUGUGGUAUGUUGGGGAACUCACUAAUCUUUGUGCUUAUGGUUUUCAGUUUAUGUUUCAGGUACUUCGAAAAGGAAGAGUCCGGGAUGAUACCAAAGGACACACCAUUCGAUUCUGUAGUUUGUGAUUUACUUUGAUAUUUUGUGAUAUAGUGAUAUACUUUUGGUCUAUCUCGGAUUUAUGAUAAUUUUUUGGAUUACCGUUCUAUUAAAUUAAAAAUGAAAAUUUUGGGUCUUAUUUUUAGGAUGUUACAUAUAGAAAAGAGGAAAUAGCAAAAUUGAUCCUUGUGAUUUACCAAAAUUGCAGUUUGAGUCUAUUUUUUUGUCGCAUGGUUAGUCUACAAUUGAAACAUUCUCGCAGAAUCAGUCCCUCGAAAAUUUGAAUGCACUUUGUAACAUCCUAUUUCGAAUCAUUUCAUAAUUCGGGACCGUAACCCAAAGAUGAAGUAUCAUAAGGAUUCAGGCUGUGGGGAAAGAGAGGUUUAGACCCAUUUGGAUGUGGGUAAUGUGGAUUAUGUGAUCCAAGAGCUCGGUUUGUGCUUUGGGUGUUAUGAGCUUUUGGUCAAUUUAAUGCAUAAAUUUAGAUCUUGAAAGUUUGUGACCUUGUUAUGGAUAAUGUUGGAAACUUUAUUCAUCUAAACAUUAUAUUGAUUUAGAUCUAAAGGUUGGAGACUUGGACUUAAUGGAUUAAGUUGAAAAAGAUGCACUUUUGGUCCCUUGGAGACUUAAAGACUAGAUCUCGGUCGUUUGGACCAUUCUAAUGGAUAAAGUUUGAAACUUUAUCCAUUAUGGAGUUAUUCGGAACCAUAAAAUGUGAUAUUGGUCCUUCUUUUCCUUCCAUGCAUGAGUUGGUGGUUUUUUGAUGAAGUUAUAGAUUUAGGGCUUUGGGUUGGACACUAUUAAGCCAUGUAGAGUCAUGAAGUUAGGAACUUUAUGACUUAGGACCUCCCAUAAGAAUUAGAUAUGGAAGUUAUACAUGGUUUUUUAAGGCAUUAAGAGGUUUGGAGAUGAUUAUGUACUUCAACGUCAUACAUUGGUUGUAUGCACCUGAAUGGAUUUUCGACCAUUUUUGGCCUUGAACAUUUUGGGUUUGGGCCUUGCUUUGUUAGGGUAAGUAUAGGAAGGGUAAAAUAGUCUUUUACCAGUUGUUAUGAGGAGAUAUGAAAAGGACUUUGAAUUAUGGGAAAUUAUCCUAAUUAUUAAUUAAGGAUAAUUUGGAUGUGUUCAGUGUGAGGUACCCGGUAACAACAACGCGUGUGUGUUUCAGUUAUCUCAAAUUGAGGUGAGUCUCCUCACUAUACUAAGGGGGUCGAAUAGAAUUAUGUUAUGUAGAAAUACUAGGUGGUCACACCUGGCAAUUUCAUGAAAGACCUGGAUACGGGUCCCGACAAAUUAUAUGCAAUACCAGGGUUUGGAACUUGGCAGUUAUAUAUAGUAUGCUAGUUGUCUUUGUGAUACUUGCAUGGAAGACCAAGAGGUGGCUCUUGGCACUUAUUUGUGAGACCCAAGGAUUGGCCUCCGACCUAUCAAGUAAAGAUUCAUGAUACAACUUAUGGCAUAAUGACAAUUAUAAGACUAUGGAUGACACAUAACAAUAUCUAUUGUAGGUAUGGUAUGUGGUAUUUUGGGGAACUCACUAAGCUUUGUGAUUACAGUUUUAUAUAAAUGAUUUCAGGUACUUCCAGUAUGAAAGGAAAGGGCCUGGCGUGACUGUACCGCAUCCACAAGAGUUUUCUUCAUUGGUAAUUUUCAAUAUUUACUCUGAUGUUUAAAUAAUAUAUUCACUUUGAUUGGUUUUGGAACAAUUCGUUUGUAUGGUUUAUUGUUUUAAAAAUGAAAAUUUUACUAUGAAUUUUUGGGACGUUACAAGUUGGUAUCAGAGCCUUGGUUUGAGGGAUUUGGGCACACUCUCAGGUGUGUUAGAACUAAAACUAAGGAAUUCUAAAAUCUUUUAAAAGAAAAUAUCUAAAAAGAUUUUUCUUAUAAAGAAAAAAGGGGUGUGAUGCGUGCAAUCAGUUGAUCUCAAGUAAGUGAUUCCUAGAAUACCCAUACAUGUUAAUAUGUUAUAUGAUAUGAAUGCUUGCAUGCUAGUAUAAGGCUAAGGAUACUUACAGGAAUUUGAUAGAUUGGCCUGAUAUGUGAUACCUUGUAGCCUCGGAGGAAUUGGAUUCUAUGCUAGAUUUGGAAUCUAUAUUGAUAGAAGUAAUUGCUAAGUGUAUGCUUUAAAAAUUGUAUACGAUUAGGAUCAUAUAGCCCUAGAAUGACUGAGUUAGCCUUAUUUCUUGUUCCUUGUCUGUUUGUGGUCUUAGGGUAGAGUCUUUUAUUCGAUAGUUUAUUUGAUCUUGUAUUGUGUAUAAUUUGAAUGCAUAAGGAAAUCGACAUUAAGAGUAGAAGUUCCUAGCAUGGUAGUAGCAAGUGAGCUUGGAUGUCCCUUUUUGUUUUGUGGCUUAUAGUGCUACCGAACGAAUAUUGCUUGCUUUGUGCUUUGUGCUUUGUGGGACCCUUAGUGAUGUGAGUUAACUAUUAAGUAUAUAUGUUAAGUGACAUGCUGCAGAGGUUAAAUAAUCUCAGGGUGAUGGAUUUGACUUUAUUACGCAUAUCUCGUUUGAGUCUAACCAUUGUACGGAUGAGUCUUUUACUCGAAGGAUUAUCUAAACUUUGUUGCAUGUUAUUGUAUUAAGAAGUAGUUAGCUGACAUUAACAAUAGUUCUUCAGCAGCUGAUGGCAGGGUGAGGUCGGAAACCUACGAAAGCCUAGGAAGUGUUUUAGUAGGUUUGGAUGCCCUGUUUUUGAGAGGGCGACUUAGAGGAUUCGGGGUAAUUCUUGAGGAAAGUAUGGAUAUGUAUGAAAGACAGUAUUGGGCCCAUACGACUGAAAGCACAUGAUCCAGACUUGAAUUGAGGAUAGUCACAUAGAAUCUAGGAAGCCUGUAGGAUGAGGGUUCUUUGGGUAUGUGUUGAUCAUUUGUAUGUGUGCUUUUCAGAUUGGUGAUGAUCACUCAUGGAGGAGAUUCAUGUUUUGGUACAGGCUUAGGUUCAGGUGCUGAGCCGGUGGAUGAGCGGAUGCGGGAGUUCAUUUCAUCAGAGAUCACCCCAUGUAUUUUGAAGCAGACUCAUGUGAUCUUCGGUUCGGUCAAAGAGGGGAUCAUGGAGAUUUUAGAUGAGCGCAUGGGCAUGUUUCACACUAAGAUUAUGGCUAUUAUGGGAGCUCGCACUCUUUCCUUCUGCGAGUUAUGUGCUUGUGGAGCUCCUAAGUUCUUUAGGUAGAAGGACCCCAUUGCUAGUAGGAGGUGGUUAGAGGAUAUGGUGACAACUUUCCGGACGAGCUUCUACCCCGAGGGGUCGAAGUUCAGAUUUGUUUCUAGACUUCUAAAAGACAGAGCACGAGAUUGGUGGGAGGAGGUAGACUUCUCUUUGGGAGGCAAGACCAUUGAGACGAUGACUUGGGAUGAUUUUGUGACCCGGUUUAGGGUGUAGUAUGCACCAACUAUCGAGGUGCAACAGUUGGCAAGGGAAUUUUAGGACCUUUGCCAGAUGACUGAGAAUGUUGUGGAGAUCACCACCAAAUUUAGGGAGAGGGCUCUUUUGGUUCCAUAAUAUGCUACAGACGAGGAGAUGAAGAAGACUUGGUACCAUGAUAUGUUGUGAGACGAUUUCAAGGAGUUUGUUAGCUUUUCAACAUGUCGGACUUUGGAGGACAUGAUUAGCUAGAGAUCGAGAGCGGGGGAUUGAUUUGGAGCAGCUUGGGUGUAACAUCCAAAAAUUAUAACCCAAAAAUUUCAUUUUUGAUUUAAGUAAAAAUAGUAUUCCAAAACAUUGUUCAUACAACCCAAUAAAAUAAGUAUGUAAAACAUCAUAAGAAUCGGAUUAUGUCCCAUAAACAGAAUCCAUGUGGUGUGUGCGAUGCAGUCAACCCGAGCUCUUCCCCUUCAAACCAGAAGUACCUGAAACAUAAACUAAAAAUAGUAAGCACAAAGCUUAGUGAUUUCCAAAAAUAUCGCAUACCAUACAUAUCAUAUAACGGGCCCCACCCAAAUGAGAUACGGGCCCCGCCCACACUUGCAUAAUGGGCCCUGCCCGCACUUGAAUAACAGACCCUACCUAAUGAGAUACGGGCCCCGCCCACACUCGAAUAACGGGCCCCGCCCAAUAAACUCACAUAUACAAGCACAUACAAGUAUCACAUAGACAACAAGUAUAAUAACAUAACCAAUCGAGGGUCAACCUUGGUGCCUUAGACCUGCUAAACCUAGUAACGAAACUCACCUCGAAUGUUGAGUGUCACUAAAAUAAAUCCCUAGCUGUUGCCAUGAUGACUCCUCGAGCUAAUAGUACAUAAUAACACCCUCUUAACACUAUUCCAUAUACAAUAAUCCAUUCUUAGGGUAAAAUAACCAUUCCCCUUGACCUAAUAUGAGCUAAAACCAAGGCCCAAAACCACUUGUUCCUCCACGACCCAUUUAUGGACCAAUUUUCCAAAUCGGGCCCAAACCCCCAAUAUGGACCUCACCCCUAGGCCCAAUAAACUCACUCAGUCCAAAGGCUUGAUUUUAGAUGGCCCAAUAAGGCCCAAAACAACAAUGUCCAAGGAAGUAGCCCAAACGAGGCCUAAAAGACGCAAAGCCCAAAUCAUUGAGUACGUGGGGCGAACGCAACUGUACGCUAAGCAUACAUGUUGUAUAGCUUGUAUGUUGUGUGUACGAGCUUGUACGCCCAACGUACUCACCCAUUAAGCCAUUUCUCCAAAAAUCUCUUAACUGCUUAAAUCUAAGGGUCCCAAACACAGAUCUGGGCCAUAUGCAACAUCUUAAACCAUAAAGUCACCAACUUGGUGACUUUGCAUGCCCCAAAUGAACCCAAACCCAAAAUACAACCAUGUACUUUCAUAAAAAGAACUCAAACUCAUACAUGGAUAGUUUUAAGCCUCAAAGAUGGCAACUUUAUGACUCUAGGGCCAAAAGAACACCAAGAGUAGCAACUCUAAGCUUCAUAAAUGAAAAUAAUCUGCAAGAUCUCAUCUAUGGGACCAAAAAAGUCCAAAAACUCAAACAAAGGAGAUCGAAGCUAUAACACAAAGUUCUAAGCUUUAUACCUCAAUUGAGUGCCAAAAGAUGAUGAUAACUCGGAUCUUCAAGCUCAAGCUCCAACAACUCUUCUUCACAAACUUCUUCUUCUUCCUUCCAAUGCACCAAACUACCAAAAACACACUCCACAAGGUCAAGACCACACCAAGAUGCUAAAGGGUUCGAUAUUGGGGUUUCUGGACAGUAGAGGCUGAUAAGGAGACUAACACUUGGGACUUAAUGACAUUAUAUAGAGCUUGAACCCUAGAAAUUAGGAUUUUUAGUCUGACCAUGUACGCUGCAUGUACCACCAUGUACGAUGCGCAUACGUGCAUGCCUUAGAGUUCUAAAUGAUCCAUUUACCCCCACAUACACUCGGCUUACGCCCAACGUACGACCUCGGAUAAGGCCACUCAUAAUGGCCCAAUCCACUAAGCCCAACACAACUUACAUGAUUUAGACAAUUAAAUAAAUAAUACCUUAGACGCAUCGGGUUUUACAUCGGAAAGAGUAAGCCAGAAUAGGUGCAUACAGUUGGGGGUCCUAUGAAGGGACCGAAGACUUCUGCUCAAUGAGUGAGAGGCCAGUAUGGAUGAGGUCAGUGCAACAUGUGUGGGAAGCAGCACGAUGGAGUUUGUCAAUCUAGGGGUUCGGGUUACUAUAAGUGUGGCACAUUUGGUCAUGUCAGCGGAGAUUGUCCCCAGGGGCCGAGUCCGUUAUGUUUCCAUUGGAACCAAGUGGGCCACACGAAGACCGACUGUCCAGAGUUGAUGACGGGAGCAGUGAGGGCAUCGGCUCUAGCCACUCAAAGGAUUACUCAUGGUCGGGAAAAGUGAAUGUUUCCGUGGUGAGGAGUCGGGCAUUAUAGCCAUGGGCCAAGGAGAUCCGAAUUCCACAAGUUGACGUCGCAUGUAUGUGUUUUUUCUUUCCUUCUUGCUCUUUUUAUUUGCGUUUGUGAUGGUAUGUUGUGUGUGAGACGCUAUGUGUGGCUUAUCUAAGUGUCCACCUAGGAACUAGAAUUUUCAUCAUGAUGGUCUAGACAUUUUAUUUUGAGAAUCUUCAUAUGUCAUUUACAUACCGAGAGUUGUGCUUAGAUGAUAUUCGGGUGAACCUCUUUUAGAUUUCGAUGUGGUAGGCCUCGACCAUCGUUAGAUGAAGCUUUAAGUGAGAGAAGACCAUCAACCAGUUUAAUCUUUGGUGGUAUUAGCAAGGAAAUCAAGGAAUCCACAAGGUGGGCAUGCUGGGUUUGAAUGCAGGAUUUGUGUGGGUCUUUCGGAGGUACGAUGCAAUGAUGAAUUGGUUUGAUCGUGGGUGUAAGAUCGGUAAUUUUCAAGUUUAUACCUUCGAAGUAUGGUCAGUUGCAGAUUUGCAUAGGAAUUACUCUAGUGCAUGUAGGUCGUUGAAUUGCUUGGGUACCCGUUUCUAUAGUUUAGAUUUUGUUCUUCAUCAUCCGAUAAAGUCACCGAGGACUUAUAGUGGAUUCAGUGGAAAGUGCUCAGGAAUAGUGAGCUCGUUGAGGUUUCGGGGAGUAUUUAUUCAAAUUUGGCAGCUGUGUGUUCGCUUGGAUUAGCUAGUAAUGCAACGCUAGUAUUUGUGAGCUUAGGAUGUGAACGUCUUCGAGUAGUCAGGUUGUGAUAUAGAUUGGAAAUCUAUGAAUUUUGUGGUUUGAAAAGUGCGGUUGAAUCCAAGUGGGGGAGAACCGCUUGGACUAAGGGAUUGCACAAGGAAUGAGAUUUCAAGUUACCUUGUGCAUCAAUGGUGGCAUAUGGCGGGUAUAUGAUUAGGUUUAGGUUGAGGGUUGUCAAAGAGCCUCUCUGGAUGUUCUUGUCUGAUAAAGGCUUUGUGACUCGAAGCAUGAACCAAAUACCUAAUUGGGGUAUAGUCGAAUGAGGCUUCGACCCAUGAUUUAUUUGGUUGGCAGGUAGCGAUAAAAGUGUUGUAAGACUACGGGGUGAAAGUAGCAUUCACUAUGUUGGCUUAUAAUGUAGUAGCGUUGUAAGACUACAGGGUGACCCGUAGCAUUCACCUGGUCCAUGAGCAGUUACAAGGAUGUUGAGGAACUAUGCUUAGGCUCAUAGUUCCUCUAGGUGGAAUUAGACCAUGGUAGGACGGGUCGCGAGACCGUGGGAAGGCCACAUCAUUCGUGGGAUUGAGAAAGGUAAUGGUUCGUUUGGGGUCGGUCAUGAUGUAAGACUACAUCUGGGCAUGUAAGAUUCAUUUAGAGCAAAGUAGGUUAUGUUUCAUCAGUGUAAUGGUUGGUUAUGUUAUCCCUAGUUGGAACAGGAGGGAUGAUGAAGCCUUAUAUACAAUUAGGUUAGAUUAGCCUUGCCAUACAGACUAUUAGAUAGAGUCUCGUGGUACACUCGUUUGAAGGAUGUCAGUUUCAAUGACCAUUCGGGAAUCCGACGCUUCAGAUAAUUGGUAGAUUAGCUUGGAGCUCAAAAGAUCUUGGAUAAAUUAAAAAUGUGAAUGUUUGGUCAGUAGGAUAAUUUACGACUGUAAGGAUUUCGUUCGAUUAGAUUGCAAAGUGGAGCCAUAAUGGUUGUGAUUUAGAAUGGUUUUGUAUGCCGAGAAGUCAGAUAAGUUAUUGGAUUCCUGGAUUUGAGCUGAGUAGUGAUGGCUAUCCUUUAUUGGAUAAGGUCAGCGGGAGUAAGGAUUCGUUCAUCGUCAGUAUGUGAGUUUUGCUAAGGAUAUGUUCGAUUAUUGGAAGGCCAUCGUAUGUUAGGGUCAACUUUUAUCACAGAUCUUGAAGAUUUAUUCGGAUCGUCUGAUUUGCUGGAAAGUAGCAAGGAGUGAUUUCGAGAAUGAAAUCUAAUUUACAUGGGGGAGAGUUGUAACACCAUGUUUCGAGUCGUUUCAUAAUUCAGGGCCGUAACCCGAAAAUCAAGUAUCAUAAGGCUUCGAGCUUUGGGUAAUGUAGAUUAUGUGAUCCAAGAGUUCGCUUUGUGCUUUGGAGUCUAAGAGUAACAUGGGAAAAGUGGUGUUUCAGACUUCUUUUAUGAAUUAAUGAUUUUAGAUCAAUGUGUUUUAAGUCAAAAAUAAUUAGAUAGGGUUGUAAACCUCCUUAUUACCUUUCUGUGUAUAUAGAUAUUGUAACACCUUGAAUUCAGAAGCCCGGAAAGAGAAGAAAACCUCAAAUGAGGAAGUGACUCAUCGAGUAGAUGGGUGACUCGACGUGUAGGAGCACGAUUUGGUCGCGGGUUUAGUGGCCUACUCGACGAGUCAGAAGACGGACUCAGUGAGUUGGCCAGGUUUGGGGAAAACCCUAAAUAUAGGCCUUGCACCCUAUUUAAGGAACAUUAUAGCCUUCAUCAGCCCCCUUGAUACUCUCUCAAGUCUAAAAUGAAAACCAUAGAGCCUCCCUUGAGUUGUGAGUCAUUUUGAGAGUUUUGGAGCACUCUUGAAGCUUGGAGGAACAAGAAGAAGGUUGGAGGUUCAAGGAGGAAGGAGUAGAUCUAGAAGAUUCACUCCAUUUGCUGCUCAUUUUGGUAAUCAAGUUCCUUCCUUGACUUCUAGUUUGUUAGAUCUCUUUAUGUCCCUUUUUAUGAAGAUUAUGGGCCAAGGGUGAUCUCUUGUGGGAUUUGGACGCCCCAAGCCAGAUCCUUUCAGAUCUAGGAGUGUCUUGAGUAGUAAAAGCAUAAAGGUGGAAGCUUUAUGCCAUUAGAACUCCCCAUGCCAAGUUUAAGGAGUUGUUUUGUCCUUUUGAGCAAAAAGGGCCAUGAAAGGGUGAAAAGGUAAUGGCUUCAUGUGAUAUCCUGACCCUAGGAGGCUAGAUUUGGAUCUUGGAUGCCUUGAGCUUGUCUGAAAUCGUCUGAAUAGAGUUGGACAUAGAGAGACUCGGCGAUUCAGGCUAGUUAUUGCUCCAAAACCCUUCUGUUAAAGGGUAUGAGUUGAGUGGUUAGGGACUUAGCCAGUUUAAGCCCAUAGUAGUCAUGAGGUUCUUCGUACUCGACGAGUUCAAGGAAGGACUCGACGAGUCUCAGGCAAUCUCCUUAGUGAUGAAGAUGGAAUCGACGAGUUGUUCAUACAACUCGGCGAGUCACAACCUAGACACAUUCUUAUGUGGAUGAUGAACUCGACGAGUUCAAGGUUGAAAUCGGCGGGUCAGAUGAAGAUGGUCCCGAUUGUAUGGCUGAAGGAAAACCCGUCGAGUUCUUGCUAGACUCAACGAGUGGAGUCGGGGGUGUAUGGGGUUGGAGGAGUAUGGACUCGACGAGUUGGUAGAUCAACUCGGCGAGUCAAGUCAAUUGGAGGUUGACUUUAACUGUUGACUUUGACCAAGUUUGACCAGGGUUGACUUUUGGAUUAUUAUGGUCUAAAUGUUGUUUUGGGUAAUGAUAGUUCGGGAAGCCGAAGGGUCAGCGGUUCAAAAGUUUGCCGGUUAGCAGUCAGAAGUGUUCAGCGAGUUUUCUGCAGUGCGAGGUGAGUCUCCUCACUGCGUGCAUGGGUCUAUGGCCACAAUUUCGGCCCAUUAUAUUCAUGUUUAUGUUUAUGCUUAAGUAUAAAAGGAAGAACCGGGGGUUAGCUCUAGGCACUUAUUGACAUAUGUUCCGGGUUACGACCUGAUGCUGGGCGAGGCCCAUGGAAUGUUGGAAUGCUAGAGGUCUUUGUGAUUCUUGUAUGUGUCGAUAUGAUAGGUUUCGGACCAAGGGUCCGAUGCCGGGGUAAUCGUAAGGAAGAUUCUUAUGUAGUAUGUUAGAUUAUACUUGAUGUCUUCGUGAUGGUUGUAUAUGCCUGGUAGGGAGGUGAGUGUGGGUGAGGUCCCGUAUCUCAUCACUAGCUGAGUAUGGAUGGGGUUCCAUAUCUUGAUAUUAGUAGAGUAGGGGCAAGGCCCGUGGCAGGAAGGACGUGAGUGUGGGCAGGGCCUGUAUCUCACUACUAGUAGGAGUAUGGACGGGGUUCCACUACUUUAGUAGCAAAUCAGGGGCGGGGCCCAAGUCAGGCGAGGCCUUAGAACAUGAUACAUUUAGAUAUGUUUGUAUGCUCUAGUGUGUUAUUUGAUCGUAUGUAUGUGUAUGGCGGGCGAGGCCCAGAGACUAACGGUGCCUAAGGGAAACAGAUCUGUAUACCGAGCGGGGCUCGAUGCCAGGUGGGACCUGAUGCCAGGCGGGGCCUGAUGACGGAUGGGGUCCGAUGGCGGGCGAGGCCCAAUGCAGCGGGCGGGGGCCCAAUAUGUUGUUAUGUACUCAGGGUUAUAUAUGGCAUGUUUGGAUCAGUAGAUAUGUAUGGUAUGUGGUGGGUUGGGGAACUCACUAAGCUUCGUGCUUACAAUUUUUAGUUUUGGUUUAAGGUACUUACGAUAGCGGAAAGAAGAGCUCGGGAUGAUCGCAUGGCACGCAUACCAAGGAGUUUAGCUGGGAUGUUUACUUUGAUAAAAUGAAUAAGUGUUUUGGAAAAAAAUACUCUGAUUUGUCAUAUAACCCUUUCAGUAUGUUUGAAAUGAUCUAACGAUCUGAAUUAGUAAUAUUUUUAAAGAAAUUUUUUGGUCAUGAUUUUUGGGAUGUUACAAAUAUAGUAAAAAACGGAGUUGGAAUGAAGAAGCUAUGAUCGUUAGAAGUUAGGAAGGUUUUGGGCUUAGUCUAGUACGUUGGGCAUACCUGGCAUCCUUGGUACGCUAGCGUACGUUAUCAGAACACAAACUAUAUUUUCGUGGUUUGAACCCUAUUUAAGCUCCUUAACUUCCCCAAACCCAAUCCACUCUCAGCCUCCACCUCUCACCCUCCCUUGAAACCCUAACCCUCGUUUGAGCCUUGUGAGCAAAAGAAGGUGUUCUUGAGUGCUUUGGAGUGUUCUUGGUGCAUCUUGGAGUAGAAUUAGCUCAUUAGAGAAGUGUUGGUUGCAUUGGAUCUUGUAGAUCUAGACUUUGUUCACCUUCAUCUUACUUCUAGAUGUAUAAAAAUUGAGUCUUGAUGAUGUAUUUAUUAGAUCUAGCUAGUUUUGGGUGUUAUGAGCUUUUGGUCACUUUAGUGCAUAAAAUUUAGAUCUUGGAAGUUUGUGACCUUGUUACGGAUAAAUUUGAAAACUUUAUUCAUCUAAAUAUUAUAUUGAUUCAAAUCUAAAGGUUGAAGACUUGGACUUAAUGGAUUAAGUUGAAAAAGAUGCACUUUUGGUCCCUUUGAGACUUAAAGACUAGAUCUUGGUUAUUUGGGCCAUUCUAAUGGAUAAAGUUGGAAACUUUAUCCAUUAUGGAGUUAUUAGGAGCCAUAAAAAUUUGAUUUUGGUCCUUCGUUUCCUUUUAUGCAUGAGUUGGUGGUCUUUUGAUAAAGUUAGAGAUUUAGGGCUUUGGGUUGGACACCAUUAAACCAUGCAGCGUCAUAAAGUCAGGAACUUUACGGCUUAGUACAUCCCAUAAGAAUCAUAUCUAGAAGUUCUACAUGUUGUCUUAAGGCAUUAAGAGGUUUGGAGAUGAUUAUGGGCUUUAGCGUUGUACGCUGUGUGAACAUACCUGAAUGGCUUUUUGGCCAUUUUUGGGCCUUGCAUUGUUGGGCCAAGUAUAGGAUGCAUAAAAUAGUAUUUUACCCGUUGUUAUGAGGAGAUAUGAACUAUGGGAAAUUGUCCUAAUUAUUAAUUCUGACAUCCCGAAUUUCAUGGCCAAAAAAGACCGAUUUGUAUAUGCUUAUUUAAAAAUCAGAGUCUCCUUUUUGAGGAAUAACAUUGCGAAAUUUGUUUCUAGAACACAUGAUAAUGAUAUUAUCAAGAAUUUCUGAAGAAAUAUAUACUUAUUUAUAUUAAGCCAUUGAGAUGUCAUCAUCAAUACAUAAACAUAAGCAUAACAAAAUAUUACAAGCCCUACAUUAAUUAAACUAGUGACAUAAUUCUCAUUGAAUCUCUCAGUAGAAUGUAUCUUUAAUAUCACUACAUGUGAUACAAUAAACUGAGUGGGUCAUAUUGGGAAACCUGGUGAGUACAUAGGGGUUUUAACCCAUAAUAAUAUAAUUACUAUGUUUAAUCUUCAAAUAAUUAACCAAAUUUCCCAACCCCAUUAUCUUCUUUAUUCUUAAGGAUCUACCCUAAGGAUCAUCUAUGCUCAUAGUAGUAGUUCAAGGAUUCCUCCAUGAUACUUGUCUGUAGGUAUUCUUCAAUAUUUAUUCCUAAGGAUUUGUCCUAAGGAAUAGGCACGAAGUCCAAAACUGCCAUGGUUUAUCUAAUAGACACUAAGUCCAUAGCCGCCAAUGCUCAUCUAUAUGGCACUAAGUCCAUAGCAGCCAAUGUUCAUCUAUUGGGUACUAAGUCCAUAGUUGCUAAUGUUCAUCUAUCGGGCACUAAGUCCAUAACUGUCAAUAUUUAUCUAUUGGGCACUAAGUCCAUAGUUGAAAGGGUUUAUCUCAUUUAUUGACAUCAUUAUUUUAGGUUGUCCACCCACAAUACAUGUAAAUGGGUUUUUAGAGUACAUAUAGUGAACACGUAGUUCAAAACCACCUACAGGUUGCGAGCAUGCUAGCGUUCCACUCGACUGUCUAGAAUAGUCUGUGGUUAUCAUUUAUAAUCUACUAGAUGACGUCAUCUUUAAUGUCAAGGCCUCUCAUCAUCUAUUUAAUCUUUCAUCUCUCACCAUCUAUAUCAUCUUUCAUUUUUCAUCAUCUACAUCAUCUUUCUUUUAUCCAUCUUGACCAAAUAUAUUUAUAGGUAUAAGAAUACAUAUACAGUUUAAAUUAAGUAAAACAUGUAUAAAUCAUUCAUCUAGCAUAUAUAUCAGGAACACAAGUAAUAGGCACAUAUAGCAUGUAUUUAUAUUAAAUAUUUCAUAUCUAAGUGUAAGAUGAAAGUAACUAUGCACUCACUUGUUAAAGUGACAAUUCAAAAUUCAGACAGCGCUUCGCUUCUAGCAACUGUCUUUUCCUUUGACGUAAACCUAGUAUUAUUAUCACUAAGUCUUAGUCUAAUAUUUAUUACGACUAAUUAUUAGUGUAUAUUCAUCAUUAAUUCAAAGUCUACUGAUCUAUAUCUGAUAAGAGACAACCAUGUAGGAUCAUAUUGGAGGUAGGGUCCGUUUGGUAUACAAAGUAUACUGUUUGGAAAUUCCACUUUAAACAUAUCACUAAAUCCAGCCUAGACAUCUUCCCCGUAUAUAGAUCAAUCAAUAUAACGACAUGUAAUCACUGAUACAUCAUGUUUAGAGGUUCAUAAUAACGAUAAUGAAUUUAAACAUAAGUUACACUUAAAGCUUAAUAGGUGUAUCUCAACUUACAUGGUUUCUAGCGAAAACUUAGAACUCCAUGGUCAGAAUUUCGUCGCUAAAUCUUUUUUCUAAAAAGAUUCUUGUAGCGCUUCAACGCUCACCUUACUAUACUAAAACUACAGAAAGAGAAGUCGAAUCACGAGGGACCGAAAUGCUCGAGGAUAAGAAGAAAAAGACUUUUGAAUCAAGAGAAUGGUGCAAGAAAUAUGAGAGCCUAGAGCCGCUUAUUUGGUGUAAUUGAAUUUUCAAAAACCAUCAUCUUUAGUUACUUAAAUGACCUUAUAUUUAUUUAAACGACUAAACACCCCUUUAUAAUAUUAUUUUGAAUAAAUUUAACGAUAUUUGUAUUGAACUAAUGUCUAAAGUACUCAACACUAGUCUUAUAACGAUCGCAUCGUUGAUACUUUUCUAAUGAUAUAUGCAUAUGUAUAUAUGUGUGUGUGUAUAUAUAUAUAUAUAUAUAUAUAUAUAUAUAUAUAUANUAUAUAUAUAUGUAUGUAUGUAUGUAUGUAUGUAUGUAUGUAUGUAUGUAUGUAUGUAUGUAUAUACGAUUUAUACUUUAUUUUAAUACGUAAAUAUGCUAUUAUAAAUUAUAACUCAUUCAUACGAACUCUGUUUUUGACGUUCUUUAUAUCCAUGCGUAGCUAUAGACGCGAUCUACAACUUUUGUUUAGACUCUGUCGGCUUAUUUUGACUUUAUUUUUUGGGAUAUAUACAGUAAAGUCCCAAUAUUUUCAUCGAUUUGACAAGAAAGUCCUAAACUUUAUUUUUUUGACAGUAAAGUCCAAAUUACCGGCAGUUUUUGACACUUUUACCCUUUUUUCCCGGUUAGCCGGUAAUUAGGACUUUUUUGUCAACAAAAUAAAGUUUAGGACUUUCUUGUCAAAUCGUCAAUUAGGACUUUACUGUCAAAAAAAUAAAGUUUAGGACUUUUUUGUCAAAUCGUUGAAAAUAUUGGGACUUUAGUGUAUAUAUAAUUUUUUUGGUUAGAAAUUUAAUGGUAUGAUACUCUUUAAGCAUAAGAGUUAUUGAAACCUUCUCUAAUCAGCUAGAUCCUAUUGAAAUCCUUUACGUUUGCUUCUUGAUAAAUCGUUUUUUUAAUCUCAACAAACAGACAUUGAAAAAAAUUGAGAUAAUCAAGAAAGAAAUAAAGAACCAGGGUUGUGUUGGCUUUUUGCAGUCUCAAAAAUGGAGAAAUUAGAAACCUAAAAAAACGAAAUUGCCUGGCUUUAUACAAACACAAACAACACAUGUCUAGUCAAAAGGGUGUGAAUGUGGAGAAAGGAAAGAAUGACAAUUUCGUUUUUUUUUUGGUUUCUUAUUUCUCCAUUUUUGGAGUUGCAAAAAGUCAACACUACCCUGGUUCUUUCUUUCUUUCUUUCUUGAUUAUCUCAAUUUUUUUCAAUGUCGGUUUCUUGAGAUUAGAAAAACGAUUUAAGAAGAAGUAAAACGUUAAGGAUUUCAAUACGAUCUAGUAGAUUAGUGAAUGUUUCAAUAACUCUUAUGCUUAAAGAGUAUUAUACCAUUAAAUUUCUAACAAAAAAAGUUAUAUAUACACUAAAGUCCCAAUAUUUUCAACGAUUUGACAAAAAAGUCCUAAACUUUAUUUUUUUGACAGUAAAGUCCUAAUUGACGAUUUGACAAGAAAGUCCUAAACUUUAUUUUUUUGACAAGAAAAUCCUAAUUACCGGAUAACUGGGGAAAAAGGGUAAAAGUGUCAAAAACUGCCGGUAAUUUGGAAUUUACUGUCAAAAAAAUAAAGUUUAGGACUUUCUUGUCAAAUCGAUGAAAAUAUUGGGACUUUACUGUAUAUAUCCCUUAUUUUUUUCGUCCAUAUUUGUAUAAGAUUAAUUGAUUUUUCUAAAAUCAUAACUCUCUCGUAAGGACUCCGUUUUUGGCAUUCGUUUUCUCAAAAUUAUUAUUUUAAAGAGUACUACGAUUUUCUUAUUGAUGACUUUAGUUAAAAGCAACCAUUCUCUUUGUAGCUUUUUACGUCACACAUUCCUUGUGCCCGGUUGACUUUUAUAUUUUAUAAAAAUCAUAUCUAAUUCAUACCGAGUCAGAUUUCUACGAAAUUUAUAUUUUCGGGUUCAGGAAGAUGUGUACUUUCAAAAUAUAAUNNNNNNNNNNNNNNNNNNNNNNNNNNNNNNNNNNNNNNNNNNNNNNNNNNNNNNNNNNNNUAUAUAUAUAUGAUUUGACGCACUUCUUUUUACGAUUUAUGGGCGAUCCAGGUGAUUUUUCGUAUUUUAUUAUAUUAUAAUAAUCAAGAAACAUAUAAUAUUCAUAUAAUUCUUCUUUCUUACGUCAAAUAGGUUUCAAUUGUUGACCGUACCUAUUAUUUUGGUUAAAAAUAUUUAUCCUAGAUAGUCUUCUAUAAAAAAAAAUCAUUUUUAACGAUUAUUAUAUAUUAAUUGACUUGCCCGAAUUUGCAUGUGUUACAAUUAUCUCCCCUUAGAAUGAUUACGUUACCGAAUCAUCAACAAAACAGAGUUUGUAUAAUGACUCUGUACGUUUCCUUUCGAUCCUAGGUGGUAAUCGUAACUCUUAUAUCCUUUCAAAUGAGUAUCAAACUCUAGGACUCCUUGACUGCUGGUGGUAUGCAAUCUUGCACCCACUCUUUAUCCUAUGUUGGACUUUCAAUCGUAGACUUCGAGUUACAAACUUAGACCUUAUUGGAGACCUCUACUUGUUCUUAAACAUACUUAGCUUAAGAUAAGGUAUUUACUUCGAUUACCGUAACACAUCGAUGAGACAUGUUCUAAUGACCUCCCGUCAUAUGAUGCAAUGCUUAGAGUUAGGUCUUUUUGAGUCAGAUUCUAGAAUGGAAGAUACUUUCCUUCAUGUUCUAAUGUGUUAUAAUCAUAUUCUAGCAAGUAACACUUCUAGCUAUAAGUUUCUUACUUUCACGGUGAUUGUGAUACUUCUAUUGAUUGCUUAGAUUAUAUUUCACUUUAAUCUUCUGGCUUAAGUCGGAUGCUACAUCGAACUUGGUCCUCUGAACCACGUACAAUACUUAUCUUAGCCGAACUCGAUUUGAUAUGACUACCAGUGUCAGAAUAACAAUCAUCUUCUUAGUCAUUACCGAAAUGAUGGUAAUGACAAAAACAAACGAAAAAAACAUAAUUACUAAUACCUUAGUAACCUUGUGACUUUCCCUGAUCUAAGUGUGAGUCCUGUGCUUUCGAUAGUAUAGGCCUCUACUACCUUUCACACAUACUCAUACUCGUCCCAAGGAUUGUCUCAUAGUCCACUAAGUUAUUUUCACAAAAACAAUUUAACACAUACGAAUGUGUCCAAACAAUCAUAAAUUUUCCUAGACGUUACUAGGACUUCUUCCAUGCAAAUCAUCAACAAUAAUUAUGCUUCAACUUGGUUGGUGGUGGAAACGCCAUACAAUGGGAUGAGUUUAGGAAUUACACCAAAAGUUCUAUCAUCCCACUAAUUGAAGGUGUACUUUAGAUGUACCGUACUCCUCUAGACAUACUUUUAUUUUGUUAGAUGUAUUAUAAAGGCAAGGUACCACUUUAUAGGUAUUACUUUACGAUAUCUUCCAAUAUGUAUCAUUCACUAUCGUAAGCCUCCUUAUUUCUUUCAUUUGCUUAGUCUAGCAUGGUUCACAUCAUUGCCUGAAUUUAUUCUAUCGUGAUAGGUUCGGGUGUAGGUGCAAUGACCGAUGCAUGACCGAUCACAUGCUUAUGCUCAGGUUGUCAUCUUAUGUUGAUAUUUCCUAGUCCGCUACGAGUCUUCACCAUGACAUUUGUACACCGAAGCCGGCGUUCGGCGUAUUUGGACGAGGAUAUAGAUAAACAAGGUUUAGAUGUGUAAUCCUCUUUAUUACUCUGAAAAGUUACAUGCCAGUUCUAAUAAUGUAAUUAAACGUUUAGAAAUCUGAACACAUAAAUUUCCAGAUCUGGUCGGCGAUAGGCCAUACAUCCGAUCAAACAAUAGCAUCAUAAAGCAUAUAAGGCAUCUUAUAACAUAAAUCAUUUAUCACAUAAAAGCAAUUUAGGAAUCUUUCCUAAAUAAAGUAGUACCCGUGUCUAUUUAGGCAUACUUCCUAAAUAUAGCAGACACUGAUCUCACAAUCAUUGCUUAGCAUUCUAAGUUUAAGUGUAGAAAUUUCCUGGAAUUCCUAGUUCGCUUAAACUAAUGCUUUGAUACCAACUGUGACAACCCCAAUUUCACGGCCAGAAAAGACCGAUUUGUUUAUGUUUAUUUAAAAAUCAGAGUUUCCUUUUUGAGGAAUAACAUUGCGGAAUUUGUUCCCAGAAAACAUGAUAAUGAUAUUAGCAAGCAUUUCCGAAGAAAUGUAUAUAUAUAUAUAUAUAUAUUAAAGAAAUGAAUCUUAGGAAUAGUGAACUUUCUAAUUUUUUGGCAGAAUUGGUCCAUGUACUUUUGUUGGGCUUCAAAGUUAGGAAUAGUAAAUUUGGAUGUUUUUUCGCAACUUUGCUCCUCAUUCUUUAGUCAUUUUGACACUUUUGGUCAUUGCAAUCAAUAUUUUUACACUUUUUAGGAACCUUUUAAUAUUUAAAGUUUGGCCACAAAACUUUAACGGUUUGACAACUUUGAUCCCUUUUCUAAAAAGUUGCUAAUUCUUACCCCUUUAAUUGUUUUGCUAUUUUGACACUUCUGGUCCUUGCAGUCAAAACUUUUACAUUUUUUUCAUAAAAACAUGAAAAAACGGUCCGGGGCAAAGCCCGAACUUUUCAUCCUUGCACUUUCUACGUCUGUCAUAUUUAUCGAUUCUGAAACAACAUUGAAAGCUUCUGGCCCCCGUGUAACGGGGGUAACCUUUCUAGUUUGUAUUAAGACAUUGGGAUGUAAUCGUCAAUACAGAAACAUAAGCAUAACGAAAUAUUACAAUCCUUACAAUAAUUAAACUGGUGACAUAAUUCUCCAUGACUCUCUCAGCAAAAUGUAUCUUUAAUAUUGCUGCCUGUGAUAUAAUAAACUGAGUGGGUCAGGUUAAGAAAGGUGGUGAGUACAUAGGGUUUUCAACCCAUAACAGUGUAAUUAAUAUGUUUAAUCAUCAAAAAAUUAACCCAAUUUGUCAUCCCCAUUAUCUUCUUUAUUCUUAAGGAUCAUCUAUGCUGACAAUACUAGUUUAGCGAUUCCUCCAUGAUACUUGUCAGUAGGUAUUCUUCAGUAUUUAUUCCUAAGGAUUUGUCCUAAGGAAUAGGAACGAAGUCCAUCGCUGCCAUUAUUUAUCUAAUAGGCACUAAGUCCAUAGCUGCCAAUGUUAUGUGUUAGGCUCUAAGUCCAUAGUCGCCAAUGUUCAUCUAUAGGGCACUAAGUCCAUAGCUGCCAAUGUUCAUCUAUUGGGCAUUAAGUUCAUAGCUGCCAAUGUUCAUCUAGCAUGCACUAAGUUUAUAGUUGCCAAUGUUCAUCUAUCGAGCACUAAUUCCAUAACUGCCAUGAUUUAUCUCCUUUAUUGAAAAUAUUAUUUUAGGGAGUCCACCCACGAUACAUGUCAAUGGGUUUUUAGAGUACAUCUGGUGAACACUUAGUUCAAAAUCACCUACAGGUUGCAAGCCUGCUAGCGUUCCAUUGGAUUGCCUAGAAUAGUCUGUGGUUAUCAUCUAUACUCUACUAGAUAACGUCGUCUUCAAUGUCAAGGCUUCUCAUCAUCUAUAUCAUCUUUCAUCUCUCAUCAUCUAUAUCAUUUUUCUUCUACCUAUCUUUACCCAAUAUAUUUAUAGGUAUAAAAAUACAUAUAAAGUUUAAAUCAAGUAAAACAUGUAUAAAUCGUUCAUCUAGCAUAGAUAUCAGGAACACAAGUAAUAGGCACAUAUAGCAUGUAUUUAUAUUACAUAUUUCAUAUCUAAGUGUAAGAUGAAAGUAACUAUGCACUCACUUGUUAAAGUGACGAUUCAAAAUUCAGACAACGCUUCGCUUUAAGCAACUGUCUUUUCCUUUGACGUAACCUAGUAUUAUUAUCACUAAGUCUUGGUCUAAUAUUUAUUGCGACUAAUUAUUAGUCUACAUUCAUCAUUAAUUCAAAUUCUACUGAUCUAUAGCUGAUAACAGACAACUAGGUAGGAUCAUAUCGGAGGUAGGGUCCAUUUGGUAUACAAAGUAUACUGUUUGGAAAUCUCACUUUAACACUAGUAUAAAAAUGACCUACAGUUACACUUUUCAAAAAAUGGCAAGUCACACUUUUUAUUAAAAGUGUGACCAAAGGUCAAUAAAAAAAUUUUGAUACUGUUUUUGGAUACAUUUAAAUUAGUUUGUGUGGCCAUUGUAUAGAUAAUCAAAACUUUAACCACAUUUAAUUAUAACAAAUGUGACAAUUAUUAGCCAUAGUCGGACAAUGUGGCCAUAUGUCACCAUCAAACACGUAUACUUAUUAACUUUAUGAUAUUCUUUAUAAGAGACAAUAGAUAAAUAUAUGGUCACAUGAGGCAAUUGCAUAUGUUUGUGUAUCACAGUGUGAUUUUGGACAUAUGAACUCCAAUGUAGCUAACAAGUGAUACAUAUGGCCACAUUAAAUAUUUGUGUGUCCAUAUGUUGGUGUAUACUAGUGACUUAGUAAAAGAAAGAAAACAAGUUACUUUUAGUGGUUUAUUGUCAUGUGACUCUUAUUAUGUCUGUCAAUAUAUGAUGGACUGGGUUUAAAAAAUAUAUUGUGAGUGUAAGUUGCAUUUGGUUAUGGUUACAAUUAUUAUGUGUGUUUAUAGGUAAAUCUAGUUAUAAAAGAAAUUUAAUGUCUGAUCAGUAAAACUAUAGUAUGGUCAUUGAAUGUGUGACUAUGAUUAUAUAAUGGUCAUUCUUUUGGUAUUAGUGUAUGUCAAAAGUUAAAGAAUAGUCUUCACCAAAAUACCCUUUAUUGACUAGUCAACCAUUUGACUUAUAUAAAGCCAUUGAGUCCCUCCCAAACUGCAUAAGGGAUUAUUAAAAAUUGGGAUAGUUUUUGCAAAAAAAUUUCAUGUUGUUCGUUUGAAGUCUAUUGGAAUUGCUUACACCAAAUGAGUUUUAGUGAUAUAUUACUUUGACUUUUGGGACCUAUUUUCGUCAUAUAAUAGUUGGAGUGGUGUCAACAUGUACAAAAAGAAAUGGUUAAAGUUGCAUCUGAAGGGCUCCUUUAAGUCGACCAAAAUACCCUCCAGAGGGGGACACAAAUCGUUAUAGGUUUUGUACCAAUUUCUACCUCAGAACCCCAAAAAAUGUAAAAAGACCAUAAUCCCAUUUUUGAAGUAAAACUGUCCUAAUUUUCUUAUAUUCAUUUUAGACCAAAAAAUCCAAACCAAAACAGUUUCCCAUAGAGAAUACCAACAAUAACAUUCAACUUUAAAGAGCACUUUUUUCGCCUUAUGAUCAUACAAUUCGAAUAAAAAACAAUGAAAAAGCCAAUGAUUAUGUAGAUAAAUUGUAAUUAAUAUGAAUUGGCAGCAAUGUGCUGGAAAUAGUACAAUUAAAAGGAUAUAAACAUAUAAUAAAGUCUUAUAAUUAUAUAUACAUACCAAUUUUUUUGAACUAAAAAAAGUAAUAAGGGUAAUAUUUUCAAUUUUUAGACAAACACCAAUCAAACAAAGGAGUUCCAAUUCUAAUUUGACAUCAACCAAUUGAUAAUUUUUCCAUGGAUGAACUGGUUUCCAGGAAAACUUCCAAUACACUUUUUUUCUCUUUUAGGCAACUAACUUUGGUGUUCCGAGCACCAGACAACAAAAAUUAUGAGAUUGAAUGCAUGAAUGUUGAGGGAUUGAAGGGAAUGGAAUGAGUUUUACAAGGCUAUGAAGACAUGCAUAUGCCCAAGAGCAAAUUAGUAGUUUAACACAAAAAAGAUGCAAAUGAGCAAAAUACUAUUUUUUUCUAGUUAAAAAUUAGAUCAAAUCGAGCAAAAUGACCACAUAUAUAGUAUUCUUCACAUAAGGUUCCGGUCUCGAGACAUGGUUGUGUCCAGCAUCCUCGACACUUGGUUGUUGGGGCAGUUGAUCUUCAUUUUCACUACAAAAAAUCGAUAGAAGGUUAUAAACAUGGUUGUAGAACUUAUAUUUUUGUAUGAUCUUGACAAUACAAAAUUAAAUGUUUAGAUAUCCAUGAAGCUUUUGUGGUUACAAUGUUUUAAUUAUACUACAAUUUAAAUAAUUAGUAAAUCAAUGAUACAAUACUAGUGAUAAAGUAUACAAAUCUGAAAAAAGAACCAAAGGGCAGAGAAGUCUUUUCAUAUUAAAUUUCAAGUUGGUUACUUGUUCUGUUUCAGAGUAAAUGGGACGUUGGUAGUUCGAUUAAGAGAAAAACAUUAGACCCACAUCAUAAAUUCAUCAUGCAAUGAGGUUCUUUAUUACAUCAUCCCACUUUCUAGGCCAAGACAAUGAAUACAUUACAACAUUAGACAUGGAAUUGCCUCAGACUCAUUACAAAAUGCUACAUUCCUAAUCUAGACAAUUCAACUAUUAAAGAGAAUUUCUUGUUUAUUUUGAGCUAAUUAUAUACUCAACAUCGUUUGUUGGUUUGAACUUGAACCACAACAAUGUCUAAUAUAGACAACUUGUUCAAUAUUAUGUUAAUGAUCCACCCCCAUGGAAUAUUGGUUGUUAGAAACACUUCAAAAUAUCCACAUUCUUGAAAUUAAGAAUAUCAUGGGAUUGUGUUGCUUAAAUCCUAAUGAAUCUACAUCAGAAUCAAGAACAUCAUGAACCAUGUAUUUUUUUCAUUUAUAUACAUCAGCGCCAUUAUUAUUUUUGGCUUUGUGCGUGUCUUCAUCUACUGACGAACAAAAUGAAGUCAAGAGAGGUUUGUUAGUGAUUACCUGGGUCAAGGAAAAAGAAGACGAGAACAAAUAUGUUGGUAUAAUGAAUGAUAGAGAUGUAGAUGUCAGUAAGAUGUCUGAUGACAAGUAGGAGUUCUGAUGGACGUUGACGAUCAGUGUGACGACGACGAAGAGAAUUGAUAUUUAUGGCAGAUACGACGAGGUAUGAGGUGUGGGACGGUAAUGGUGAGGUCUGAUAUGUGCAACAAAGACGACAAUGUUUGAUAAGUAUACGAAUGGAAUUAGGUCGUCAGUGAUGGCCAUGGUAGUCUAUCACUAAGGAGGUAGUGUGAUUUAGGCGAGGAAGACUACAAAGUUGGAUAGAGAAAGGAAGAUAUAAUUAGUUAGGGCAUUCUUGGCUAGACGGAGAAAAAGAGGAAAAACGAGGCAAAAUAAAAAAUAAGUAUGAGAUUUUUAAAUUUUAGUGAAUUUGUAACAACAAAAUAUUCUUAAAAAACGAUAUAUUAAAUAAUAUUAUUAGAAAAAUGUUGAUUAAUAUUGAUUAUAUAAAAUAGAUAAAGUUAUAUGAUUUUUCUAUGGUUUGUUAGAAUUCAUGUGUUGAGAACAAUUAUUAAAAUGUUUACAUGUUUGUUUUUUGUUAUUUCAACUUAUUGUGCGGUUGGUUUUUGACAAAUGCAAAAUAACUUUUGAGCAUUUUUUAAUUUAUUUUUCAUCAAACCCAAUGUCAUCAUUUAUCUUCAUCACCAUAUUUAAUGUUUCAAAAAAUAAAAUUUUUUAUCCAAGCUUUCUAUAUACUUUUUAUAUAUGUACAUGUUCGUGGGUACAUGGAUGUGUGCAUGGGUGUACAUGUAUAUAAAAGUGGAUUUGGGUAGGGGUGGGUGGAUAUUGAGAUUUGGGAUAUGGUAGGGUGUAUUUUUUCGUUUGUAGGUAGGGGUGUGUGGUUGUUAUGUUUGAGGUAUGAUGAGGCUGAGGGGGAGGAUAGGGGUGGGGUGGGGUGAGGUGUGUAUGGUAGGGGUGACACUUAUCAAUUAGGAAUAGGUGUAAGAUUCUUGUGUGUAUGGGUGUAGCGUAGGUAGGCUUAUGGCUUAUGGAUCAAUGGUUUAUGGCUAAUGGCAUAUUCUUAGGCAUUAUAGUUUGUGGCUUAUAUCUUAUGUCCUAUAUCAUAUGUCUUAUGUCCUAUGUCUUAUGUCCUAUGUCCUAUGUCUUAUGUCCCAUGUCCUAUGUCUUAUGUUUUAUGUCUUAUGUCUUAUGGCUUAUGUCUUAUGGCUUAUGGCUUAUGACUUAUGGCUUAUGGCUUAUGUCUUAUGGCUUAUGGCUAGGGCUUAAGGCUUUAAGUUAGAACUUAAGGCUUAAGGUUUAAGGUUUAAGGUUUAAGGCUUAUGGCUUAAGGUUUAGGGCAUAUAUGUUUUUAAAUUUAUGCUUAAUAAUCAAGGCUUCCAAAUUAUGGUUUAGGGGUUAAGGCUUAGGACUUGUGGGUUAUGACUUAAGGCUUAAGGCUUAAUGCUUAUGGAUUAAGGCUUAAGGCUUAUGAUAUAUGGCUUAUAGCCUGUGGCUUAAUGCUUAAGGCCUAUAGCUUAUGGCUUGAAACCCAUUCCUAUAUUCCCACACUAAUGCCUACCUCACUCUACCUACACACCACCCACCCCACACUUACCUACCCAUUAAACCCUUGUGGGUUAUGACUUAAGGCUUAAGGCUUAAUGCUUAUGGAUUAAGGCUUAAGGCUUAUGAUAUAUGGCUUAUAGCCUGUGGCUUAAUGCUUAAGGCCUAUAGCUUAUGGCUUGAAACCCAUUCCUAUAUUCCCACACUAAUGCCUACCUCACUCUACCUACACACCACCCACCCCACACUUACCUACCCAUUAAAGGAACUUUACCCCCAUCCAUACCCAUACCACCACCUUACCCCAUAUCCAUAUUCCCAAACACACCCACCCUCAUCCUAUAUAACCUACACUACCAACCCACACACCACCCAACCGCCCUACCUUUAACUCACCUCAUACUUCCAUGCGAUAGACACAACUUAUAUACCACUACCUACUACCCUCCCCAUACACAUACACAUCACCACAACUACAUCCCCACCCCACCCUUACACCAACCAACCCCAUUCACUCACCCACCCUUACACUUACACCCACAACUGCAUGCAUUAUUCUAUAAAUAUGGUUUAAGUUUCAUUGUCAUAUUUAACCCUUCAAGUUGAGUUUAUAUCUANNNNNNNNNNNNNNNNNNNNNUAUAUAUAUAUUCAAUUUUAGUUUUAUAUAUUUUGAGUUUAUUUAAUUAUUAUUAAAUUUUAAAUGUGUUUUCUUUCAUAUUAAUUUAAAAUUUCACCAUAAACCCACCCACACACCUAUUCCUAGCCCACCCCACCUCACCCCUACACUACCCAUCCUAAUAUCCACAACCAAUACACAAUACACACCAAUUUUGACUCACCCACUCCACCUAACCCCUACACUACCAAGCUAAAUGUGAGAUAUAGUUUUAUAUGUGAAGUCUUAAGAACUACAAAAAUAUAUUUGAGAUUUAUUUUUAAUCAUAACAAAAGUAUAUUCUCUACUUAUGUGUCUUAUAUAUAUGGUUAAUUUGUUGAAAAAUUAUUUAAUAAUAUAUUUCAAUCAAAAACUUUGAGAGUUUAAGAAUUUUAGUUUUUUUCAUAUAGUAUCAAAAGUAAAUACAAUAAUUUGAAGAUUGAGAGUUUGAAAAUUUUAGUUUUUUACAAAUUUUUAAAAUUAAAUCUGUAAUUUCAUGUUACCAUUCUCAUUUUCAUUUCCCCCUUCCCAAUAUCAAUUUCCCCCCUUUAUAGACCUAAUUCCAUUUUGGAACACACCUGAUGCGCUCCUCCUUCUCUUUUCUACCCUCUAUCUUCUCUCUAACAUAAAAUCAGUCGCAUGCAACAAAUAUUGUCAGUUUACACACCACGACCUUGCUUCCUUGGUUUGAUUUUGGUUGUCCAAUCGACUUUUCUUCUCUUCUUUGACUCAAUGUAAGUAAUUGCUUCUGGUCUAUUCUUCACGAUUUGCUCAUGAUUGUGGCUGAUUCACCCUCUCCGAAUUUCUAUGUUGAUGACCCAUGUGCUUAGUUUUAAGCACAUGAAGGCUCUUAAAUUUAUGGCUUGGAUAACUUUAUUUUUCCAUCUUUAGUUAUAAGCUUAUGUCUUUGAUCAUGAUUUAUAUUGUCAGAUGCAGGUGAGAUGCCUUCAGAAAUUCGACACUUUUCAGCUCUCUUUUGAUGGAUUUUUGUGGUGUCCGAAUUUCUAUGUUGACGACCCAUGUGAAAAUGUCACCAGAAUGUUAGUAAUGUACACCAAAAUUUUGAGGUUUUUACAUUUAAAAAGAAUAUGUGGCUUAGGUUGUGACUUAUGAAAUUGAUGAUUUUGUAAUUGAAAGAAUACAAGCAAUAUGUUCUACAACAUCGUGACUAUUUUCUUUUUCUAUUAUCCAGGGAGAUGCAGGUCGAAGAAAAGAGAAUUGAGACUGAAAAAGUGAGACUUCACGGUCUCCUUCAAUUCAAUAAAUACCCUUAGCGUCUAUCGAAUCGAGCAUGACAAAGCAAAUGAUUUGGGUGGCUUACUUUGAAUACUAAAUAUUCAGGUUUUAAUUUUUGAUGUAUGCCAUUUUGGUAUUUCUUUUUUAUGUAGCUCAUAAUUAUCAAUCUAUUAAUACUGAAUCUUAAUUUCAAUAAUGCUCCACAUACAUCAAGUUGCUCCUCACACCUUCCACUUCCAGCAAGGCAAAACAGAUGCCUCCUUCUAUGGGGAACUAGAUUGUUGUAUCUGAGGCAUUUUGGUAUGUUAUAUAAUUAAUUGAUACAACAUGAAAGCAGCAUGAUGUGAUUUUGUGGAUAAAACUCUAUUAAUUGCGCUAUUUAUCAUCUAUUAACCUUGAUUUGAUCAGAUGAUACUUGGAUAAAUUGUAAAGCAAAAGAAAAUUACAUAAUAAUUGAAAUUAGAGUAAAUGGAAUAUAAUUUUGGAUAAUUGAACGUAAAUAAAUGGUUUUUUAUAAACAUACUUACCCUAUUUAAAUACAUAUACAUAUGAGUAAAUUACAUAAAUAGUCCCUUUAAUAUAAUGGGAGUUAAAAGGUCAGUCCAACUUUUGAUUUCCUUACAUGGGCAAUCCCCAUGAUCUUAAUUUGUUGUGUAUUUAGUCCAUUUAACCUUCCAACCUGCUUGUUCUUGUACACUUUUACAUAUAAACUAACCAUUUUUCUGUUUAUUAUUUCAAGUUUUUAACUACUUGGCUAUGAAUCGUUUUUAAAAUGACCAUUUUUCCCUUGAAUUAAAACUGAAGAAAAAAAAUAAAAAGGUUCCAGUGACCAAAAUUAUAACUUUCUCUUAAUUUUGACCAUAAGAACAAGAGUUGUUCUUGGUGCUACAUGACAUUAAUUUGAUUUUUUUUUAUCAGACUCGAACUAUUUACCAUCUUCAGUUAUUCAGUUUUUGAAUAUGUCUGCAAGGAUAUCAUUUAGGAACCAACUAUAAAUUAUUAUAAUAUAAGUUGAUCGAGGAAGAGGGGAAGCUUACUAGGCUUCAAUGACUCAGGUUCAUAUCUUAAAGUUUUGGAAUUUUCUUUUGGCAGACCGGUAAAAUUGGGUCGUCUGUCACCAGAACUUUGAGAGCAACUUGCUCAAUCGGCGAGUUCUCGUCUGACUGAUGGGAGGAGGGUCCAUCGAUUUGGUGUUCCAUACUCAAGGUUGUUGGUAUGAAUUCACAAAUCCCUUGAAAUCCUUUAUCAUGAAUUUAACAUUGGAUCUUCUGAUUCUUUAACAAUCAAAGUUCAAAUGAUCGGGAUAUGUAAUUCAACUCUUCUUUUUUCCUGAUUUUUGGUUGAUUUAGGUUUGAAUUUUUGUUAAUUCCGGAAUUAGGUGCAACUUCCGUCUUGCUAAGACAUUUGGUUCCGUCUCUUCAAUGCGAUCAACACCUCCUAGAAUUUGUCAUAUGGUUGUUUCUAGGGUUUAAAACUAUUGAUUUGGUAUGUAUAUUGUAACAUCCAUAAAAUUCAUGAAAAUUUAAAACUUUCUCAAGCAUUCAAAAACCAUUAUUUAUUACAAGAUGUUUUCAAAAUAAUUCAUAACAGAGUAAACCAGAAAUCAAAAUCAUAAAAUGUGAGGAGGUGCAAGAUCAUGCCUUGGCCUUCCCGCGAUCAUCUGAAGUACCUGAAACAAAAACCAAAAUUGUAAGCCCGAAGCUUAGUGAGUUCCCUCAAAAUACCAACGCCAUAAAAACCAUAACCAUAUCAUAAUAAACAACAUGCAUAUAGAGUCUACAGUAUGACUGGACCGCCCUCACCGGGCCUUCAAUCUGUCUGGCCCACUCUCAGAAAGUUCAAAAUGUCUGGUCCGCCUCACCGGGCCUUCAGCGUGUCUGGACCGUUCUCCAGGCCUUCGGCCUGACGGAUAUGCCCUCAUGACCUGCAUUCUAUCCGGGCCGCCCUGGGUAUGUUGGCCUAAAGCACAAAGUAGGUCCACAACCCACCCCCAAUCAUACAAUCAAAACAUAGAUAACAAAUGCUAGCAUAUACAAACAAUCAAAUCAAUCUAACAAAUCACUAAUCAUAGCAUCAUCAUAUACAACAAGAUACCGAUCUAACCGGUCACUAACAUAGCAUCAUCCUAUAUACCAGGAUACCGACCUAACAGGUCACUAAGCAUAUCAUCAUGUAAUAACCAAGAUAUCAAUCCAAAAGAAGGGCCGACAUUGGUGCCUUCAACCCUGUUAGUAUAGUGAGGACAACCCACCUCACAAUGUCGAUCAGAACUGAAAUAUCAAACUCCCGAAACACAGCUCCAAACACCAACACCUACAACCACCAAUGAUCCACUUCCAUAAAUUCCCAAAUUACCAAAAUACCCUCAGAAGUCAAACUGGUCAACCCUUGGUCAAAUUCAAAGUCAACGGUCAAGGUCAACCGUCCAUGUUGACCCAACUCGUCGAGGGGUGUUUCUAUACAUGCUCGUGCCCGGAACACUUGAGGGCUCGGUUUGCGCUGAACCAGCUUCGCCUGGGAGCGAAGGAUUGGUGGAAGUUCACGACAGCACACUAUUCUCCAGCAGAGCUUGCUGCGGUGACCUAGGAGAGGUUCACCACCAUGUUUCACGAUGAGUACAUUCCCCCGGUGGAACGGGAUCGGUUGGCACAAGAGUUUUUGACCCUCAAGCAGGGUACGGAGUCUGUUACGGUUAUUACCAGGAUGUUUCAUGAGAGGGCGAUGUUCUGCCCUAAGCACGUGUCUACUGAGCAGGCACGUAUGAGCCGUUAUUUGAGUAUUUUGAGGAGAGAUAUUCGGGAGUUCGUGGCGAACUCCUCGUACCGGACAUUUGCCGAGCUUCAGGCAAAUGCCCGGAAGAGGGAGAUCGAGCUAGAGACUCAGGCUAGGGAGGAGGCGGAGUCUCAGGGGAGGGAUCAGCGACCGGCACAGUCCCAGCCGGCAGCUAAGCGGGCCAAGCCCGCUGAUCCCAAANNNNNNNNNNNNNNNNNNNNNNNNNNNNNNNNNNNNNNNNNNNNNNNNNNNNNNNNNNNNNNNNNNNNNNNNNNNNNNNNNNNNNNNNNNNNNNNNNNNNNNNNNNNNNNNNNNNNNNNNNNNNNNNNNNNNNNNNNNNNNNNNNNNNNNNNNNNNNNNNNNNNNNNNNNNNNNNNNNNNNNNNNNNNNNNNNNNNNNNNNNNNNNNNNNNNNNNNNNNNNNNNNNNNNNNNNNNNNNNNNNNNNNNNNNNNNNNNNNNNNNNNNNNNNNNNNNNNNNNNNNNNNNNNNNNNNNNNNNNNNNNNNNNNNNNNNNNNNNNNNNNNNNNNNNNNNNNNNNNNNNNNNNNNNNNNNNNNNNNNNNNNNNNNNNNNNNNNNNNNNNNNNNNNNNNNNNNNNNNNNNNNNNNNNNNNNNNNNNNNNNNNNNNNNNNNNNNNNNNNNNNNNNNNNNNNNNNNNNNNNNNNNNNNNNNNNNNNNNNNNNNNNNNNNNNNNNNNNNNNNNNNNNNNNNNNNNNNNNNNNNNNNNNNNNNNNNNNNNNNNNNNNNNNNNNNNNNNNNNNNNNNNNNNNNNNNNNNNNNNNNNNNNNNNNNNNNNNNNNNNNNNNNNNNNNNNNNNNNNUAUGCCACAGAGGUGAUUCGAGGGUGUGUACUCGAGAUCUUCGGUGUAGAGUUUCCUAUUGAUUUGGUCCCGAUUGCGAUGGGGGACGUUUGUGUCAUUGUAGGCAUGGAUUGGUUGAGCAGAUUUGGAGCCGUUAUCGAUUGCGAGCGGCAGCUGGUGACUAUACGAGACCCAAGUGGGGGAGUUCUUACGGUGUACGGUGAGGGUACCCGUCCCGAUUCAGCGUUUUGUUCGGCUGCUAGAGCGAGACAGAGUCUACAGCAGGGUUGUAGUGGUUUUGUAGCAUAUGUGAUGGAUAUGCGAGUUGGUGCAGAGAGACCGAGUGUGGUUUAGGAGGUUCCGAUAGUGCGGGAAUUUCCGGAUGUCUUUCCCGAGGAGUUACCGGGUGUGCCUCCCGAGAGGCAAGUUGAGUUUCGCAUUGAUUUGAUUCCGGGGGCAGCACCUAUUGGCAAGGCGCCCUAUCACCUUGCACCUCCAGAGAUGCAGGAGUUAUCCUCGCUGCUUUAGGAGCUGUUGUGGAAGGGGUUUAUUCGGCCGAGCAGCUUGCCGUGGGGAGCACCGAUCCUUNUGGCCAAGGACUGCUCCAAGGGGUUUGCAGUGUGUUUCCACUGCAACCAGACCGGACACCGGAAAGCCGAGUGUCCGCUGCUUCGAGGGUCAGCACAGGGAGCUUCUCAGGGGAUUUCCCCUGCUGCGAUUAGAGCUUCGGAUAGUCGGCUGGUGAAGACCGAGACGCCGAAGGCNNNNNNNNNNNNNNNNNNNNNNNNNNNNNNNNNNNNNNNNNNNNNNNNNNNNNNNNNNNNNNNNNNNNNNNNNNNNNNNNNNNNNNNNNNNNNNNNNNNNNNNNNNNNNNNNNNNNNNNNNNNNNNNNNNNNNNNNNNNNNNNNNNNNNNNNNNNNNNNNNNNNNNNNNNNNNNNNNNNNNNNNNNNNNNNNNNNNNNNNNNNNNNNNNNNNNNNNNNNNNNNNNNNNNNNNNNNNNNNNNNNNNNNNNNNNNNNNNNNNNNNNNNNNNNNNNNNNNNNNNNNNNNNNNNNNNNNNNNNNNNNNNNNNNNNNNNNNNNNNNNNNNNNNNNNNNNNNNNNNNNNNNNNNNNNNNNNNNNNNNNNNNNNNNNNNNNNNNNNNNNNNNNNNNNNNNNNNNNNNNNNNNNNNNNNNNNNNNNNNNNNNNNNNNNNNNNNNNNNNNNNNNNNNNNNNNNNNNNNNNNNNNNNNNNNNNNNNNNNNNNNNNNNAUUGCGAGCGGCAGCUGGUGACUAUACGAGACCCAAGUGGGGGAGUUCUUACGGUGUACGGUGAGGGUACCCGUCCCGAUUCAGCGUUUUGUUCGGCUGCUAGAGCGAGACAGAGUCUACAGCAGGGUUGUAGUGGUUUUGUAGCAUAUGUGAUGGAUAUGCGAGUUGGUGCAGAGAGACCGAGUGUGGUUUAGGAGGUUCCGAUAGUGCGGGAAUUUCCGGAUGUCUUUCCCGAGGAGUUACCGGGUGUGCCUCCCGAGAGGCAAGUUGAGUUUCGCAUUGAUUUGAUUCCGGGGGCAGCACCUAUUGGCAAGGCGCCCUAUCACCUUGCACCUCCAGAGAUGCAGGAGUUAUCCUCGCUGCUUUAGGAGCUGUUGUGGAAGGGGUUUAUUUGGCCGAGCAGCUUGCCGUGGGGAGCACCGAUCCUUUUUGUGAAGAAAAAGGAUGGUUCGCACCGAAUGUGCAUAGAUUAUCGAGAGUUGAACAAGCUAACGGUCAAGAACCGUUAUCCUUUGCUGAGGAUUGAUGAUUUGUUCGAUCAGCUGCAGGGAGCAUCUUGGUUUUCCAAGAUUGAUCUAAGAUCUGGAUAUCAUCAGAUGAGGGUGCGUGAGGAGGAUAUCCAGAAGACCGCGUUCAGGACUCGUUAAGGGCAUUACGAGUUCGUGGUGAUGCCAUUCGGGCUCACCAAUGCGCCUGCAGCGUUCAUGGAUCUCAUGAACAGGGUAUGCAGACCGAUGCUGGAUCGAUCAGUGAUUGUGUUCAUUGACGACAUUUUGGUGUAUUCGAGAUCCAGGGAGCAGUAUGAGGAGCAUUUGCGAGAAAUCCUCAGUGUGCUGAGAUCGGAGAGGCUUUAUGCCAAAUUCUCCAAGUACGAUUUUUGGUUGCGAGAGGUGCAGUUCCUUGGUCACCUCGUUAACCAAAAGGGGAUCUUGGUCGAUCCGGCCAAGAUCGAGGCGGUGUUAAGCUGGGAGGUGCCGAAAUCUCCUUCCGAGAUCAGGAGUUUUCUAGGGUUGGCCGGCUAUUAUCGGAGGUUCAUCAGAGAUUUCUCCAAGAUUGAUGUUCCUCUCACCAGGUUGACCCGGAAGGGUGUGGUGUUCAGCUGGGGCCCAUAGCAGCAGGCCUCAUUUGAGACUCUUCACCAGAGAUUGUGCGAAGCCCCGGUGUUGGCUCUUCCAGAGGGAAUGGAGGACUUCGUAGUGUAUUAUGACGCAUCGAUAUCUGGGUUGGGCGUGGUGUUGAUGCAGAGAGGGCAUGUGAUCGCGUACGCAUCAAGGCAACUGAAGCCCCAUGAGGCAAGGUAUCCCACCCAUGAUCUAGAGUUGGGGGCUGUGGUGUUCGCCCUCAAGAUUUGGCGCCAUUACCUGUAUGGGGUUCGGUGUACGAUAUACACGGACCACAAGAGUUUGAAGUAUUUGAUGGAUCAGCCAAACCUAAACAUGCGACAGAGAAGAUGGUUGGAUGUAGUAAAGGAUUAUGAUUGUGAGAUCCUAUACCACCCGGGCAAGGCUAAUGUGGUAGCCGACGCCCUGAGUCGUAGGGCAGAGAACGCCCUGAUUCGGGAUAUUUGUAUGAGAUUGACGAUGAUAACUCUGGUGUUGGACACCAUCAGAGGGGCUCAGGCUGAGGCAGUAAGACCGGAGAACCGUAAGAGAGAGCAAGUUAUCGGUCAGGUGUCAGAGUUCGUAACCGAUAGCAGAGGGCUUAUGACCUUUUAGGGUUGGAUUUGGGUACUGUUUGUUGGAGGAAUGCGUACCAUCUUGAUGGAGGAGGCGCAUAGAUCGAGAUUCUCGAUCCAUCCCUGGGCCACUAAGAUGUUUCUGGAUCUUAAGAGAGAGUAUUGGUGGCCCUAUAUUAAGAGAGAUGUGGUGUGGUUUCUUGAGAGGUGCCUAAUCUGUCGUAGGGUUAAGGCCGAACAUCAGAGACCGCAUGGUAUGUUGCAACCACUGGAAAUCCCGGAGUGGAAAUGGGAGCAAAUAUCCAUGGAUUUUAUCACCAAAUUGCCGAAAACGGCGAGGGGUGUCGAUGCGAUUUGGGUGAUAGUAGACCGUUUGACAAAGAGUGCUCACUUUCUCGCCAUUAGUGAGAGCUCUUCUGCGGAGAAGUUAGCAGAGGUAUAUGUGAAAGAGGUGGUAUCGCGGCAUGGGGUGCCGAUCUCGAUUGUGUCAGAUCGAGAUGUACAUUUCACUUCCAGAUUUUGGAAGAAAUUCCCUGAGGAGUUGGGUACGAGGCUGCAUUUUAGUACCGCAUACCACCCACAGACUGACGGUCAGAGCGAACGGACGAUCCAGACGCUCGAAGACAUGCUCCGAGCAUGCGUGUUGGAUUUUGGCGGAAGUUGGGACACGUAUUUGCCCUUAGCGGAGUUCUCCUACAAUACCAGCCAUCAUUCGAGCAUUGGAAUGCCACCUAUUAAGCUGUUGUAUGGGAGGAGGUGUCGGACUCCCAUUUGUUGGGGAGAGGUAAGGCAACGAGUGAUGGGUAGCACGAAGAUUGUGCUUCAGACGACAAAGCAGAUACAGCGGGUCAGGCAGAGAUUGUUGACCAUUCAGAGCCGCCAGAAGAGUUAUGCGGAUAGGCGACGAUCCGAGCUUGAGUUCCAGGUUGGUGAUUAUGUUCUCCUGAAGGUAUCUCCUUGGAAAGGAGUGAUUCGAUUCAGGAAGAUGGGCAAGCUAGGGCCCUGGUAUAUUGGGCCGUUCAGAGUAAUCGCGAGGGUGGGCAGGGUAGUGUAUCGCCUGGAGCUACUUGCGGAGUUGGAGCGGAUUCAUAACACCUUCCACGUGUCUCAGUUGAGGAGGUGUAUAGCCGACGAGUCGGNNNNNNNNNNNNNNNNNNNNNNNNNNNNNNNNNNNNNNNNNNNNNNNNNNNNNNNNNNNNNNNNNNNNNNNNNNNNNNNNNNNNNNNNNNNNNNNNNNNNNNNNNNNNNNNNNNNNNNNNNNNNNNNNNNNNNNNNNNNNNNNNNNNNNNNNNNNNNNNNNNNNNNNNNNNNNGAGCUAUUUCAGGGAUGAGACUUCGAGGGCGAAGUCUGAUUCAAGUGGGGGAGAAUUGUAACAUCCGGAAUUUCAGGUAUUAUAUUUAUUCAUUUUAUUUCAAGUUUUGUGGAAGAACUCGGCGAGUUGGUGCGUAGACUCGCCGAGUAGAGACGCGAUUUCUCACCCGGAUUAAUGACCGGACUCGACGAGUCGCAUUGGUGGACUCGGCGAGUCCGCGCUGUUUAAUGAAACCCUAAUUUCUCGGGUUUGGGACCUAUUUAUAGGGCCUUAUGGCCGUCAUUUGUGCUCACCAGCCCCCAGAGCGAAACCCUAGUGAGCUUGAGCGAUUUGAGUGAGAGAAGGAGCCAUUGUCGACCUUGGAAGUGUUGUUUAGCAAGGAAAAGGAAGCUCUAGCCAAGAGGAAGCAAGAGAGUUAAUUUCCUAAAGAUCUGAGGUCCAGAACAUCACGUUUGAGGUACUUUUUUUGAACCAUUUUCUGUUGUGGUGAUGUUCAUGUUGAUUUAGGGCUUAUUGAGCCCUUUUUGUGACUAGAUCUAGUGCUCCCAUGGUCCCUUACCGAGUUAAGGUUCUGGAUCUGGACCCAUGGAGGUCCAGAGUGCCUCUUUGUCCAAGCUUUAUAUGAGUCUAUGGAGGUUUUGGCCUGGGAUCAUUGUAUUUGAGGUUAAAACACCAUUUAUGAGUCAAUAGGUGUGAUAUGAGCGCCAAGACAUAAACUUUACGUGAUAAAUAAGCUUGGAAAGACUGGAUCUAUGAGUUAGAGGAACAGAUCUGACCUCAGAAGGUCGUUUGGGGUUGUGCAUGGAAUGCACUCGUCGAGUCCAUGGGCAGACUCGACGAGUUGGAGCGGGUUGUUCCGUGUUUUUGAACCAGGGGUUGAAUAACCGAGUUGGGUGAGUGACUCGAUGAGUCGGAAGGGAUUCUGAGGAAUCGGGUCCUCGUAGGGACUUGGCGAGUCCAUGCCAGACUCGGCGAGUUGGUUUGACCGUUGACCAUUGACCAGAGUUGACCGGUGUUGACUUGGUAAAAUUAGUCAACCAUAGUUGGGAUAGUGUUAAUUAGAGAUAUAAUGUGUUAUAGGAGGACAAUAGCUCGGGAGAUCGAGCACUAGUGAUUUCCGGUAUUUACGAGUUACCGAGAUACGCGAGGUGAGUGUUCUCACUAUACUUUACCUUGAGUAGGUAAUUAGAGUUAUGUGAUACAGUGUUGUAUGCUAUAUAUGUGUUAUGUGUUGCACUGCAUUAUUCUAUGUGAUUUAUGUUGAGCAUGCUACAGAGUUAGAACCGAAAGGCUCACAGAGAUAGAGCCUGAGGGUUCACAGAGUUGGGUGCACGGACCCACAGAGUUAUAGCCUCGAGUGGCUAAUAUGUGUUAUAUAUGGUAUUUUGGAGAACUCACUAAGCUUCGUGCUUACAAUGUUUUGUGUUAUAUGUUUCAGGUACUAGUGAGGAUCGCGGGAAGGCGUCGGCCUGAUCAGUACACACACGGGAUUUUUAUGCUAUGAGAUCUUGGGAUUGUUAUAUGCUAUGAAUUUGAGUUUUAAACAAUGAUGUUUUUUAUGAGUAAUAAAUGAAUUAUGUUUUUAUAAAAUGCGAAAAAUUGUUUUGAAAUUUACGGUGUCACACAAAAUAGGGUUAGAUCGAUUAGGGUUUGCUUAUGGACGUGAAAAGGUGGUAAGGAGGCUCAAAGGAAGGACUUAAGGUCCUUUCAAUAGGGUGCAAUCCCUAAAAAUGUUGGAUUAGUGUCUAAGUCCAUAACUAUUUUGGUAUGUACUUGACCCGAUUAUGAGCAUGGUCCUUUUGGGUUGCCUUCACCAUAGCAAUAUGUAGGAUGAAUUAAGGAGAGAAAUGUUUAAUUAUGAUUUAUUAAUAUAUUAUGAGAAUAAUAUAUUAAAGGAGAAAUCAUAUUGUUUAAUUAAUAUUAGUCAAGAAUUCAUUAAGAAUUAAUUUUUGUGUCUAAAAGAGAUUAAUUAAACUUAAGUGACUUAUUGUGUAAUUAUAAGAUAAUUACAUAAACGGGCUAAUGGGCUCCAUAGAAGUUGGAGUGGAUGAAUUCUAUGGGGAAACCCAUUAGAAAUGGUCCAAGGCUUCUAAAGAGGGAGUUCAUGGGCUGCUUAGGGCUUAAGCAAUCAAAUUAGGGUUUCCUUGUUUGAUAACCCUAAUAGCCUAAGUAUAUAAGGAACCCUUGGGCACCAAAAAUGUGGCUAACACUAAGAUUAGGGCUUCCAGCCGUUUUUGGUGCCUCCUUUCUCCUCCCUCUUCAUCCAAGUUGCUUAGUGGUGUAUAUGACUCCAUUAGAGGUGCAACACUUGAGGCACUAAGCUUUUUGAAGCCAAGGAUUGAUUGUUAUUGCUAUAUAACAAUCAAAGGUAAGAUCUAAACCCUAAUUUCAGUUAUAGUUUAUUAGAUCUAGGGUUUAUGGCUUUGGAUUAUCAAUUGCAUGUUCAUUAGAGAAACUAGAUCCAAAGCUAUUAGCUAGGGUUUGCACGUACACCGUAGGAAUGAUGUAUUGCUCGAAACUCAUCAGUGGAAGCAAAGCCUAUGGCUGUUUGUUGAUGAAUUGAUGCUUAUUUGAUAGUUUAUUGGCUGACAAAAUGAUUUUUGCACCUUCUGCUUGACUGGCACGGCGAGUCCAGACUCUGACUUGACGAGUCCAAGGGUCUGGCAGCAUUUUUUGGCGAUUUUCUUGCUGUUUUGACUUGGGAUCCUUACCAUAAACGUUUUUAAUUAAUAAAAUCCAAUUUUUUUUUAUUGAUUUUGGGUGAAUAUCCUUACCAAAAUAGUAGAUAAUUACCAUUUAAUCAAAUACUUGUUAUCUUAUAAGAUAAUGUUUAAUUAUUUGAGUUAUUUGAUGAAUUAUGCUGCAAGAAAUUUGACUAGGUCAAAAUUAGAUAAUUGCCCUAUCUGAAUUGUUGAUCUAGAAUGUUCUUGAAAAAUUUCAAUUUUGCCCUUUUAGGUUUUAUAGUUUAAAUUUGAACUUAAAAGUUUUGUUUUUGAAAUUUAAAUAGUUAAACCCUAAUGUUUUGAAAAGUUUCAAAACUUGCCCUCAAGUUGUGGAAUUUAAAUUUUUGAUUAAAAGUUUAAUUUUGAAAUAUUUAAAUUCUAAACCCUAAUGUUUUGAAAUGUUUCAAAACUUGCCCUCAAGUUUUGGAAUUUAAAAUUUUGAUUAAUAGUUUAAUUAUGUAAUAUUUAAAUUCUAAAACUCUAGUAUUUUGAAAAGUUCAAAUUACACCCUCAUGGUUUUGUUAAGUUAAUUAAAAGAGAAAGUUAAUAAAACCACCUAGUAUUUUAAANUUAAAACUUGUCCUCAAGUUUUGAAAUUUAAGUUUUGUGAUUAAAAGUUUAAUUUGAAUAAUUUAAAUUUCAAACCUUAGAAUUUAAUUUGAAUAUAUAUAUAUAUAUAUAUAUAUAUAUAUGAGUAAAGAGUCAGUCUUACCGUUAGUAGGCCUCAUUCACGAAGCUGAUCUAUAAGGGUUGUUUAAGGAAAUUGCCUAUAAAAUGGCGAUUGAAUGGGUAUCUACUCUUACCCACUACACUCUUGACUAGUGGAGGGUCGUUAGCCGAACGGGUAGGAUAGGACAGAAACCUUCCAUUAUAAGUAUAAUGAAGUACAAAGUAACUAAAUGCUUUUCAAAUUCCAAAUCAUAGUUACUUUAGGCAAAAUGUGAAAUUGUAUGCUAAUCCAUGGAAUGACACUUUGUACCCUUGUCGAGACGUUAGUGGAGCAUGUGUGGUUAAUCGACACACUAAUUUGGGAUUGGCAUUGAUAGUGAAGGGUGAUUCGAUGUCUAUCAUAGAUCAAUGGAGUGUGUGUGGUUAACCGUCACAUUGAUUAGGUGAGCAUGACAUUGAGUGCACCAAGUCCAUUCACAUGGUUAUUUACACCUUAUUUGUGAUCCUCGGCAUCCCGAUCACAAAUGAAGGGCAUAAUCGAGAUUAAACAUGCCAUUGAAAAGUUCAAUGAAUCUCAAAAGAUCUAGGAGUUUCAAUUCAUUUAAAACUUAGUUCUUUUUCGUUUUUCAUGGUGGAAAUUGGUAAAUCGUCAUUUACCAACCUUCAAAUAUUCUGCAACUAGAUUACGACAUCCCUCUUCUAGGUUGUAGAGUAUUGUGUUGGAUCCUAGCCUUGAUGUUUCAUUCGGGUGUUACAUCAAGGAUUCUAAUCAACCUAACUUGAAUUUCUCCCAUUUUGUAGAUGUCUGAAUCUAACUAUGGUCUUCCCAAAUACCAUGGAACAAGUUUUCCAAAUGAAGAUGAUAUUCCACGAUAUGAUCGAGGAACCAUAAAUCGUGCUUCACUUCCUCCACCUCCUCCAAUUAUACUCCCUGACCCACAAGUUCGAAGGCUUGAAAAGUUCAAGCUAACUCAAGCCCUUUUGGCAUGUAAACAUGAAGAUGGGAAACUUGUGUGUGCACACGUCUUAGAGAUGAAGUCACACAUUGACAGGUUAAGGAUGUUGGGUGUCAAGAUUUCAGGUGAUUUGGCUGUUGACUGGGUUCUUCAGUCGCUUCCUGAAUCAUAUAGUGAGUUCGUUAGAGAUUACUAUAUGAUGGAUCAUGAGGUGACCCUCAUUGAUCUCACUUAUUUGCUUAUAGCUGCUGAAUCAGCAAUGAUUUGGUGUGCUGGUCAAGCAAAUUUUUCUGGUGAAUCAAACUCCCAAACUUCAAUGGACACUGGCAACAUUGAAAGUCCAGAAAGGACUAAGCAUGAGAUUGUCCCAUGUGUUGUGCCAAAGGAGUCUAUUUGCUUUUAUUGCCAAGAGAAAGGGCAUUGGAGACGAAGCUGCCCAAACUACCUGAGAGAUAUAAGAGAUGGGAGAGUCAAGGCAUAUGACUCUACUUGAGGUAAAAUCCAUUAUCUAACUCUUUUGAGUUCCUAUUCUAGAUUCUUAAUUCAUGAUGUGGUAAGAUUACAUUUUGAUGUAUUGUAGGAUCGAAGAAAAGAGAGGAAGCUUAAGGGAAGAAGUGAGCUGAAUCUAAUCGUGAAGAAAAUGGAUUUCGAUCGCAUUAUUUGAAGAUUGGAUUUUUGAGCUACUACUUGGAGUUAGAAUAGAUUGCUUAGGAAUAUGUAAUAGCAUAGUUUUUCAAUUGAAUUGCAUUGUAAGGACAAAUUUUUUCCGCAAUAAAAUAAAAUUUGUUUUUUUGUCUUAUUUAUUUAUCCUUGCAAUGGCAUGUAUAAAAAAUUGAUAUUUGAAGGUUUCUAUUAUUAGCAAUAAUGGAUUUGAUUGUUAAUUAUGUUAUUUGUGGAAAUGUCGAGAAUUUACCAAAUAGGGAGAGUUUCUCAUUGCCCAAGUCUCAAUUGGAUAGAAACUUGGAAUCAUGCAACUUGAUUGCGUGAUGAAUGAGAAACUUCAUAUUUGGAAAUUAGACUAAUUCUUUGACAAAGUGUCAAGUGAAGGACUAGGAGAUCGAGUACACUAGGUUGUGCGUUGAUCAAGUCCACCACAUGAGUGAUAAAGAUAUUCGUCAUGAUUUACGAAAGUUUAGUAAAUAUGGUUAUACUUAUAAGAUUAAAUAUAAUUCUAAGUUGAUUGAAAGAGUUUCAAUUAAUAGCAGAACGAAUAAAAAGAAUCAAGUAGGCAGAAAGAUAAAAGUUUCUCUAUUCUAAGAAGAAGGGAGAGUACCUUUUAUUGUGUUUUAUGAUAAUUCUUAAGAACCAUAUCUCAAUUGAUCCUCUAAGUGAGUCUUAGUACAUUUGUAUGUCUAAGAAGAGGAAUCGAGAAUUGUGGAAAUGGUUAAAAUUAAGAAGUCAAUCAUACUUCGUUCCAAUAUCGAGUCUUAGAGUUAUACUCCAAGAUUGCGAAUUGAGUGACACAUCUUUAGUAGGUUUACAACACUCAACAAAUGUGGAAUUGGAAAAAGUCUUCUUAUUCCUGCACAUUUGAAAUUGGUAAGUUGUAAUGUCUUGGAAAAGACAAAGAUCAACUAGGACCAAUUUUGUGAAGUGUUUUGUCUUGAUAAAAGCUACACUAACUUUUGAAUAUUUGUUUGUCAAGAAAUGUUUCUUGAUAAGAGAACCUUAUAUGUCAAGGAGUCAGUGGGAGUUUUAAUGGUCUUGAAAGGUUUCAAGAACAAAUCAAGAGUUAAACCUAGUUAAUCAUCACUAGCAUAUGACUUGAGGUUUAAAGCCUAUCGUGGAUAACAUACUCUUUUUCUGUGCCAUUCCAAUUGAGUUAAUUAUGCAUGUGAGUUCUAUGAGUUCUCAUUUUAACGCAUAAAGACAAAACACCUUGAUCAAUGAAAGUACAUUGAUAUGUAUGGGUGAGUUGCUUGGAAGACAUGGUGGGCAUUUGUGCUGCCAUGAGGCAAGAAAUCAAAAUUAAACAAGUUCAGUCCAUAUGAGCUUGGAUUUGUCGCAAACCUUCGUUUUGGCAAAUGUACAUGGAUAGGAACACAUACACCAUAAAAUUUAAGUGUCAUAAGGUUUCCCUCCUUCAUGAAAAUGGUUGUGAGGAAAUGCUUUCACUAAGAGAGAUUUUAGAAGAUAGCAAUUGUGAAAAAUUGUAUUCUCAGAUUCGAUUAUGAUUACGACGUCCCUCUUCAUAGUUCGAAUUGUGAGAUUUGGCAAUUGGUCUGAACAUCUGGGACUUAGUAACAUAAAUUCUGAAUUUUUUUAGACACACAUGAGAGCUUUCUAAGGCAAAGGUGUAUGAGUUUAAGACGCUUAGAUAAAGGCCUAUCAAAGCAUCAAGUAUUAGAAAUAUGAACUUAAGGAAUUCAAUAAGCAUUGUUUUAUAGAAGUUCAAUUGUUUUCUGAAUACAUGUCAAAGCUAGUGGGAGCAUAAAUGUUAUGCUUGAAAGGAAAUAAUCAUCAUGUUAGUGGGAGCAUGAUUAUUAUGAUAAAUAUUGCAAGUUAGCAAUAUUAAUUAAAAAAAAAAAAAAGAUUCACUUUGCAAAGUCGCAAGGGUUGAAAAGUUGUUUUGUUAUAAUUAAGGGAGAGAAUAUUAUACUUCGUUUCAAAAUCUAAAACUUAGAUUGAGAAAUUUUAAUAAAUUUAGUCAAAGGAUACAUAGUGUGUUCUCAAAACCCGAUUAUGAUUACGACAUCCCUCUUCAUAAUUCGAAUAGUGAGAACGUGACACAUAAAAUAAUAUGGCAGAAGAUUGAUAAAGUAUCAUAUCUUUAUGUAAGACAUUAUGCAUCGUGUCCCAUACGCUUCAGGUAUAGGAUCGAUUGCAAAUGUUAUAAUAUUUGACCAUUCUAAACUUUUCCAAAUGCCUAGCACAUUAAGAGGGAAAAGGACUAGAAUCGGCUUUAACUAAAAUAAUUAAACAACUAUCAAAGGACGAUCCAAAGUUCGCUGAGGAUUUGUCAGUUGGAAGUAUAGUAUUGGAUGGACCAUAUCGACAUUGUUAUGAAUAGAUAAGAAUCUAUUAAGAAUGAGUUGUCAUAUGGCAAAUAUGGAAAUGUUUCCAAAUUGGGAGUUGGAUAUUGAGAGUCUAUGUCUGGAUUAGAAACUUUUAUGCAAGAAGGAUGUUCAAAGGAAUGUACUUUCAAUGAGAGACUUCGCGUCUAUGGAGUUGUCUUGUAACAAUUCCCUAUAGAAUACCUUGGAAUUUCAUUAUACGAGUCUUGGUGACUUUUGUGCUAUGACAUUACGAAAGGAUCAUUGCAUAAAAUGUUAGAAUCUAACAUAUUCUAUUAGUGGCAAGAAUGUUGUGUUCUUACACUAAUAAUAAGGAUUGGGAAUUAUGAGAUGAGUUUCAUUGGAAAGGUUUUCAAUUGAUCUAUUUCACAAAGCAUAUACCAUAGGAAACAAAUUGUGCAUGCUUGGAGUAUGGGACAAUUGUUGUUGUAAUUCAAGUAAUGAUUUGAUUAUGCGAAACAUUAAAUGAUAAAUAAUGACUAAUCAAUAUGACGUUUAAAUAAAAGUGUUUUAUUUACACUCAAAAGUUUUGGGGCCAUAAAGGAUUAAGUAUUAUUAUUGUGUUUCAGUUUUGCAUGUUUUGACUUCCAGAAUAACUGGUUUAUUCGAACCUCCAAAGUCGAUCAUACUCUGGAAGUAGGUAUGAAGCAAGACUAUCAUGAAGAGUCUGUAAAUUGUCUGAAUAGUUUAGACAUAGCACAAGUUUGCUGCAGAGUUCAUGGGCGCUUUGAUAAGAUUAGAGUAUUGGAUUAAACUCACGCUCACGUGAAUCACUUCAUGGAUUUUAUCGCAAGUGAUUGUGAGUCGAUAAUAUUGUAUAUUCUUGAAACUGAUACAUGUGAGUUGUUAUUUGCUGGGCGGUUGCACAAUGAUGAUAAGUAAACGCACCAGUAACUUGGUGUUAUAAAACUUAUUGUUGUGUGUGAUUUGAUCAGUAGGUGCAAGCGAGCAUUUGAGUCACAGUUUAUCCAUUCCUUUUACCCAAAGUGGAAUAAAAGCGAUAUCUGUGGGCCCCUCAAUGACUUAGUGAUGACACCCUGAGCGCUUGGCCAAGCCGGGACUAAGUUGAUGUGUUCAAUUGUAGUCUGUUGUCAGUCGUCAUAAAUCAGAUGUCGGGAAACAAUACAUAGACAGAGAGAAUGAUUUAAAUCCAUGUCUCGUGUCUAUACGAUAUCUUGAGAAUGGAGGAAUAUAUGAUCCCUUAUCUAAAGGACAGACGUAUCUGAUAAGAUCAGAGUUGACAACGGCUUUUGAAAGCUACGAUUGCUGAUUAGGUUAUGAAGUCGUGCAAAAUAGUUAUUAGACUUAUCCAAGUGAGAGACUGUUGAAUUAGUGUCUAAGUCCAUAACUAUUUUGGUAUGUACUUGACCCGAUUAUGAGCAUGGUCCUUUUGGGUUGCCUUCACCAUAGCAAUAUGUAGGAUGAAUUAAGGAGAGAAAGGUUUAAUUAUGAUUUAUUAAUAUAUUAAAUGAGAAAUCAUAUUGUUUAAUUAAUAUUAGUCAAGAAUUAAUUAAGAAUUAAUUUUUGUGGCUAAAAGAGAUUAAUUAAACUUAAGUGACUUAUUGUGUAAUUAUAAGAUAAUUACAUAAACGGGCUAAUGGACUCAAUAGAAGUUGGAGUGGACGAAUUCUAUGGGGAAACCCAUUAGAAAUCGUCCAAGGCUUCUAAAGAAGGAGUCCAUGGGCUGCUUAGGGCUUAAGCAGUCAAAUUAGGGUUUCCUUGUUUGAUAACCCUAAUAGCCUAAGUAUAUAAGGAACCCUUAGGCACCAAAAACGUGGCUAACACUAAGAUUAGGGUCUCCAGCCAUUUUUGGUGCCUCCUCUCUCCUCCCUCUUCAUCCAAGUUGCUUAGUGGUGUUUGUGACUCCAUUAGAGGUGCAACACUUGAGGCACUAAGCUUUCUGAAGCCAAGGAUUGAUUGUUAUUGCUAUAUAACAAUCAAAGGUAAGAUCUAAACCCUAAUUUCAGUUAUAGUUUAUUAGAUCUAGGUUUUAUGGCUUUGCAUUAUCAACUGCAUGUUCAUUAGACAAACUAGAUCCAAACCUAUUAGGGUUUGCACGUAUACCAUAGGAAUGAUGUAUUGCUCGAAACUCAUCAAAAAAUUAGGGUUUUCAUGCACAGCUUCUACUCGUCGAUUUGGGGUCCUCCAACUCGUCAAAUAGUUUCCAUAAACCACAUGGCCAUAUCCGUCUCUACACGACGAGUUGGGGUAGCCAACUCGUCGAGUAGGUCUCUAAUAAUAAAUAUAAAACUUUAAAAAUUAUACAUGGGGGUCAGGGUGUUACAUAUAUGCAUGCUUUCUUCCUCUAUUCAUCUUAUCCCUGCUACAGUUAUUGUGUAUUUCUUUUUCUUUAUUCACUUCAUCGACCCUCUUCUCCUAGCCUCUUUUUUCCCCUAAUUCAUCUUAGUCGAUUUGAAAGACAACCCAUACGCAAUCUGCCUAAAUUAGAUUAUUCAUUAGACGUUAGACUUUGAUCAGUGUGAAUCAUCAUAUCUGUAUUGUAUAUUCACUUUAUAUGUAGUUUUGAUUACUGUGUGACAUUUUAGAUUUUCAUCAGUCUGAUUGUCUACUCUAUAUUGUGUAUAUACUUCAUAUGAUAUGUUUAAGUAGUAGAUUGAUAGGUUGGAUGUAUGAUUAUAUAACUUGGAAAUUGUAUGUAACUUGGAUGAUAGAUUGCUUUUAAUGUUGGUGUUGUUAAACCAAACUAAUUAGAAACUGAAAUUAAUAUUUUCAAAUGUUAGGUUUAUAUUACACCCUCUAAUGGAAUUUUGGUCAGAGCUAUAGUAGAUGCCGCCUACUAGUGCUUCAACAUGUAUUAUAAUGUGGUUUCAUUUAGUUUCUUGACAUCAUAUUUUAUUCAUGUACUAUACUAAUAAAGAAUUGAUAUAAUAACAUGUUUCCUUACACAUUCUUUUUAUAUGAUCAUGUAUGAUUCGUCUUAUAAAUGGUUUAUUUUCAUUUUUUGUUCACAGACAUAUUAGCAUAUAUGAAGUCCUAGAAUUAAAAGAUGCAUAUUAUGAGUAUCUACGUAAAUGAGUGUUCUCAUUCGAUAUUUUCUAUCACAAUUCACAUUAAGGAAAUUUUUUAGAAGGAGAAAAGUUUAUUAGAGGUGGAAAGUUGAAUAUUUUUGGUUUACGAUGUUUUUGUUUUAUUUACCAUAUUUUUAGACUUGUUAUUCGUACAAGGUUUUUUUUUGGCUAUUUUAAUUAGGGACCUUAUGUAUGGAUUUGUAUUCCAAUUAUUAAUAAUAUUGAUUUCUUUUUAUCGUCUUAUAUUAUUGGUUUACGGUUACUUUCAUGGAGAUGAUAACAUAUUGGAAGAAAAACAUGGGUGAAAGAAAAUUGGGGAAAAAAGGACCCGUGUGAAAAUAGCCAUCAGCUUAAUUAGCCAUCGAUCCCAGGCACUAAACAGAAGUAGAAAAAUCAUAACACGGACAUAGAAUUAAAUAAACCCAAAAUCAAAAAAUAAACAAACAUUCAAAAUUUAGGUUAACUGAACAACAAAUCGACAAAAUGUCACAUGCCCUUGAUUCUAUUAGACAAAGAUAUCACCUCAAUCGAUACAUAAUGAAAAAUGAUGGAACAAUGGAACCUCUAAGAUAAAGAAGAAACGUGAGAACAUAUAGAUGAGCAAUCAAACCUACCAUAUCUGAAAACAAAAAUUAUGAAAAUCAAACACAAUAAAGGUAAACAAACCUUAUUAAAACAGAUGUAUUUGGCACAGAUUGAGAAAAAUAGGAAAAAUGAAAACUGCAUUCAUUUUCAGUAAGAUGGAAAGGGUAAUCAGGUUGCUUUACCUCUUUUGAGUCGAGAUAGAGUUAUAGAGAUGUUAGUUGACGAUUGGGAAGUGGAUGGUCAAGAAAGAACGCAUGAACAUAUGAUGCUUCAGAAGUACUUCACAUUCUUAAACAUGGAAUGAAAACAACCUGAAAUGUUGACAAAAAUCAUAUAUUAGUAUAAGAAAGUCUAAUUCCAUGUGUGUAAUUAAACCUUGUGUGUUCCAUAAUAGAAAAAAAAAAUUAUCCAAGAUUUGAUUCUCCUAAAGAAAAUCAUCAAAAAAACACAUUUAAAGUCUUACAACAAAUUUCACAAAAAAAUUCAAUCCUAGUGAGAGUUAUCAUACCCUUAUCUUCCAGUGACGUUGAUUUCACUUGGUAUGACCUCAAUAUAAGUGCCUGUAAAACAAAAAUUGUUAGAAACAAAAAAAACAACGAAAUGAAGACUAAGUAUAUCGAUUGAGAACGGAAAAACAUACAUACCACUUAUGUCUUUCAAACCAAAUCCAAUGAAACGACUUCCACUCCUUUGACUUAGCUUCCCCGUGUCUUCAUAAACUUAGAAUAAAAUAGAAUAACUAAAAGCACAAACUUUUUCAUACAAUCAAAAGAAGAAAAAAAAACAUAAACGUGAAAUUCAGAUAGAUACCUUCGUCAUACAUGUAACCAAACAAACCCACGACAAAAAUCAGUAAAUUGGCUUUUGCUUUCUGGACCUGUAAUCACACACAUAGUUAGAUACGAUGGAUAGGGUUUUAGAGAGAAAAAGAGAAACAGUGGGUUUUUGCGAUAUGAAAAGUGGAAAAAUCAAACCACCCACAACCUUGAGUUGAUACUUACGUGAAAAUAAUCGAUCCGGUAGUAGUAAUGAUGACUUUACGUCGGUGGUGUACGGAUUUGGGUAGCUGCAAAAAGGGUAGAGGUUUAGGGUGCGAGAAGGAGGUGGAUUUAGAGAGAUAGAUGGAGAAUAUGAUUCGUUUCACGGACUCUUUUUGGUUUCUUCCGAUUUGAAUAAUUUUUCACGGUUUAAAUGAACAGAGAAUGCCGAGAUACUGGGGAAUAUUGAGAUACCACAACUAACUUUAUUACGUCUUAAUUUUGUAUUUGUUAGUUUUUUGUUGGUUUUUUUGGUUUGAUAUAAAAUCUUGCUGCUGUUCCAAAAAUAUAUAUUUUGUGCCUCUCAAUUUUAAUUUUUAAUGUUUGGAUCAUCAAUACAGCUUGACGUCAUCACGCGUGAUCCUUUACGAUCAUGAAAACUAAUUAAAUUUGAUGAACAAAUCCAAAACUUCAACAACGAACUCAUAAUAGAUUAAAAGAUCAAAGUUUAAAAUCGAUUACAUGACAAAUCGAAUGAUAUAAAACAAUAAAUAGAAACAAAAAUCACAAAAUCCCACAGCUUAAAAUUCAAACUUCAUUAAGGUCCAAAACCUAAUUACAUCAGUAACUUAUCAAUCAAACCCUAAACAUAAAGAAGGAGGUAGCGAUGAACAUGGAGUAGAAACUGGAAAUCAUUUUUUCUAAUAUGCUUCACGUAUAAAAUCCAAAACGGAUCGCGAUAGAAUCAAUCGAAUAUAAACAGGAGCAGGAGCAGAUAAACACAAACAACCACACGCAGAAUAUAUAUCAAUGGAUAGAGAAAUCAUUUGCGAAAGUGCGUGAUCUUGAACCAGCCUAAUUUGAAGGGAUAUGUAAUAGACUUUCCUCCCUUACUGAAGAACCUCUUGAUACCAUAACCUUUCUGCUUCACUAGCGAAUCAAGAUUACUCAUCGUUGUUGCUGUUGUUCUUGAAGGUUCGAAUGGGUAGACUCGAGAGAAAUUGUUAACGGAGCUUUGAUAUAACAAUGGAGAAAGGGGAUAUUUGAGAUAUUUUGAUAGAACAAUAGGAUUGAAGACUCUGGUAUUUAUAGGGAACAUGCUCCAAUCAUAUUAGACCACGCCACACAGGGUGAGAUAGGAUAAUCUUUAUUAUUAUUAUUAUUAUUAUUAUUAUUAUUAUUUGUUAUAAUCUGCUUG
rnacentral:lncRNA from 1 species